UUCCGCAGGCCCUCGUCCGCGCGGACCAGCUUCCGGGCACGGUCGUUGGCGGCGCCGCACCGGUCGUAGUUGUCGAACAGCGCGUUCGGCAGGUGGCGCGCGGCGAGCACGAGCGAGCUGAACGGCAGGGGGCCUGACCCGACGAAGGCGACGCGGGAAGGCGCCAGGCCCGGGACAUAGCGGACCAGGAGGUCGUACUCCAGCUUGCUCAGGUUGACGUAGUUGCUGAAGUAAGGGAAGCGGCCGAGGUGGUCGAGCGGGUUGUCGAAGCCGGCGAGCAUGUCGGCGUAGUGCGCCUCGAGGUGUCCCUCGGCGUCGGAGCAGAGGCGGAUGAGCUCCUCUCGCAUCCUCUGCGCGUCCGGGCCGAGCUUGGUCACGUCGACGGGGCUCGGUGGGACGCAGGCCAUGACGAGCUCGGUGAACAGCGCGUCGACGUCGGGGGACGGGCUCAGCGAUGGCAGCUUGGUGAUGGCGGCGUGCAGGCCGGUUAUCUUCUGCACCAGGGCAGAAACCUCCGUCUUUGCGUGGGCGUCGAUCUUGCGCGCGAUGAUGACAGAGUUGAUCACCUCGCCGUCCGGGUGGUACACCGUCAGAACGUCGAACCCGCCGCGACGGAUGUCCUCGGGAUCAACGAUGGGGUACAGAAACCCGCGAGCCCCGUGCGCGCUCCGCACGACGAGAGCCGCCCCGUCGGCCAUGUGCCUGCCAAGGUGCGCCACCACCUUGGCCUUGUCCUCGGCCGCCAUGCCGACGAGCGCCGCAAGGAAGACGACGUCGUACUUGCCGAGCUCGUCGGUCAGGUUGGCGACGUCCACCGUGUGGAAGGACAUGCGCGCGUUCAGGUCCUUGUCCGCACGGACCAGCUUCCGCGCACGGUCGUUGGCGGCGCCGCACCGGUCGUAGUUGUCGAACAGUGUGUUGGGCAGGUGGCGUGCGGCGAGCACGAGCGAGCUGAACGGCAAGGGACCUGACCCGACGAAGGCGACGCGGGAAGGCGCGAGCCCUGGGAUGUAGCGGACCAGAAGGUCGUACUCGAGCUUGCUCAGGUUGAUGUAGUUGCUGAAGUACGGGAAGCGACCGAGGUGGUCGAGCGGGUUGUCGAAGCCGCCGAGCAUGUCGGCGUAGUGCGCCUCGAGGUGGCCCUCGGCGUCGGAGCAGAGGCGGAUGAGCUCCUCCCGCAUCCUCUGGGCGUCCGGGCUGAGCUUGGUCACGUCGACGGGGCUCGGCGGGACGCAGGCCAUGACGAGGUUGGUGAACAGAGCGUCGACGACGGGGGACGGGCUCAGCGACGGCAGCUUGGCGAUGUCGGCGUGGAGGGCCGCGAUCUUCUGCACCAGGGCAGCAACCUCCACGUUCUGGGCCUCCAUGGAAGUUGGUAGUUUCGCUGCUAAAGUUGCAGUUGGGAAGCUGGUGAGGAGCACGAGAAGCAGCUGAUCGAUGGUGUCUUGAGCUCAAGAGCAGGCAAGUGUUCCAGAACUCGUGCUGCUUGAUGAGAAAUGGAACAGGGGCAGAGGGUAUAUAUAGAAUGUCUCGGCAGUUCGUUCAUCAGUGCCUCACUGAUCUGGCCUUCAGAUGCGGCAUGUAAACUGAUGGCAGCUCAAGUUGACGUACAGGUGUUUUGUUUACAUGUGGCUGUGUAUUAGUGAUAGUUUAUUAUUAGUACCUGAGAGGACUAGGACUACGAGAGUACGAGACGUCCCAUUACAUGGCAAACGCAUGGCGCGCUUCACGCGUCCACCAUGGCCAAGGCCAGUUUCAUGCCUCGUUAUUAUGGUGUUCCGAUCUUCAACACGUCCACGUCACUCCCUGAAAGUGGUAGCUCUGAUUUUGGUCCUUUCCCGAAGUGGGUUUGCCACGUCCACAUCAUGACCUUGGUCAGGCGCUGAGCAUCUCCACCUGAGAAUAAAACCCUUUUUUAAAAAAAAAAAUAGUGAUAAAGAAACUAAAGACAUAAAUAAGUUUUUGUUAAAAAUUUUCUUGAUGGAGAAAACUUCUCCCUCAAUCCCAAUAAAAGAAGGGAGAGAGUUUCAAAAAAAAAGAAAGAAAGAAGGGAGAGCAAGCCAAUCUCCUUUUUCCCUUCCAUGUUGCCACGUUGGCAUGGUCUACAUCAAAGUUAGAGCUAUCAAUAUGUUCUACAAAUUUUAGUUGAUACUAUUUUUAUCCGAAUUCUUUAGAUGUCGAAAUGUUCAUUUUAAAUUCUCGGAUAUUGAUUUUUUUUUUAAUUUUUCAAAUGUCAAAAUUUGGGAGCACUAAAUGAUCUUAAAUAAAAAGGUUGUCAACUCUAUAGUUAUAGAUCAUGUUGAAAGUCACAACUUUCGUGUAUACCAAGUCAACACCAGUGAUCAUUUGAAAAAUUUUAAAAAAUGAACUUUAAAAUUAGAAAACUUAAAACUAAAAUUUGGGUCUCUAAACAAUCUCAAAAAAAAGUUGUCAACUACGGUGUAUAGGCUAUGUCAACAUUUGAGGUCAUUUGAAAAUUUUAAACAAUAAAUUUUAAAUUAUAAUAACUUAAAACAUAUAUUUAUGACUCUAAAAUAUAUUAAAUAGUUUAUCAACUAUAAAGUUGUAGAUCAUGUCGAGCUCUAAAAUUUAAUAUAAAGUUUUUAUUCAUACAACUUUAUAUGAAGAAGGUAUAUUUUUUAUAUAAAAUAAGAGAAAGAGACACCAAAUGGCAUGUGGGCGGGGCCUCGCUGCUGCGUUAGCAAAACCAUCCAACAAACCACUUCAGAAGAUACAAGUUACAACGCGAUGUGCUUUGAUAGCAACUGGGAAGUGCUGCAAUGUUCGCUACUGUAAUUGCACCGAUUUUUUUUUCUAGUUAUGCCCCACUGAGAAAAUCAAGUCAUUUCUCGACUUUGUUGCUAAAGGAACUAAGAAAUGCCUGGUGAUUACACAUCAUUGUGAACUCCAUUGUCGUUCUUAUCCUCCUCCACGAGUUUAGCUGUUCUGUUCCGCGCCUCUCAAAAUGGGUAAAAUGCGACGAUGCCAAGAUAUCGGAAUACAUGAUAAACAUAGUUCCAUUAUUUAUUAUUUUAUUUUAGUUCGCUGUCCAAGAAUGGCAAUACAUCAGUUCGCCACCGAGUGCAAGAGAUGGGAUCAAAACUGCAAAAGGCUACAUUCCUGUACAAGUUAUUAAUGGCAAGAAUUACAGUUUCAUUGGCCUCUACCAAUAGAAUACAAAUUGACCCAAAUGGGCGCAGUAGCCACCAGGGACUAGGCCAUUCCUAUACCUUUUUUUUUUUGUGGGGUUGGGGCUUCCUACAUGUCAGUAACAUGAUCACCUGCAGAAAUCCAAACAAAUAUGAUGCCAAUCAAGCCAUCCCUGGUACACGGUAAUGAGCACCAGUUCUGGCACAAGUGCAACGAUACACUUUAUUUUUCCCUUUAGGCUUGCUGUCGGCUGUCCAGAGAACGUUUCAUGAACACCAACUGAAGAGAGUUGAUCUGUACGAAAUCAAGUAUGUUAUUUUUUUAAAAUUAUUUUAUGAAAGGAUAUAUUGAUAAAAGUAUACAAGUUCAUGCAGAUGGAUGCACAAUUCAACCAUUAAACACUACUCUAUAAGUUGCACAAAAUAAAAUAAGUUACUGAAACUGAAACAAUUUCUUUUAUUAUCAUUUGGUAUUGACAUGCUUAACUUUUAAAAUGCGUCAACAAAUAUUUGUUUACACGAUUACAUGCAUUUGCACAGUAAGAGACUUAAGACAAAAUUGUUAGCAGCCUGCUCCGUAUGGAAGCUUUGAUAUACGAUAAUUAGGCAGAUGAGAAAUUUAUUUCAUAGUCUGUACAAUGAGCUUCAAGGCAGGUAUCAUAAAUCCUAUGUAAGACAAUCUCAGGAGCGCCAAUUAACCGAACAGACAAACAAGUAUGACAAUAUCAGGAGCGCCAAUUAGCCCAACAGACAAACAAGUGUAUCUUUUUUCUUCAUGAGAAGCAGCAAGCAAGGAAAAAACAUACCACAGAAGCGAUCUUGGUAAUGAUGAGAGUUCCUCAGGGUUUAGACCUUCACGGGCUGCACUGCCGCCACUAGCUGACAAUGUUUUGUUUUCACUGUCAGCCUCUGACACUGAGUCAACCUUGCUAGUACCGUUUACACAGUAGUUUUGCAGCCACCUAUCAGUCUCCCACAGGACGUGCAUAAUACUCUCCCUAGCAGAGUACCCAUGGCUCUCAAAAGGAAGUAUGACCAAACGAGAUAGCGCACCAUGACCUUUCAAGGCAUUGAAGAAUCGGUCUGACUGCAAAAAGAAAAAGGACAAACCAUGAGAUCAAUAACACAGAUUACUAAAAGUCACUAACCAGUAAAAAGAAUAAGCAUAAAAUCAAAUCAUGAGAAUAUAGAGAAUAUUUCCACAGAGCACAGAAAACAAUGACGAUUUGUAUAAAACAACCAGAAGCAACAAGUCAUUUUAGUCCACUAGGUAAAGGCACUUCAAAUCAAGCUAGUCUAAUAUCACAUUAGCAAAAUGAAAACUGGUAUCCUGGUACAACAAUUAAUGGUAGCAUAUGUGACUAUACGAGUCUAUCUCUAUCACUGCAGAAGUUUGGGUCACUUGCACUACUUGUGUAUGGAAUAUUACUCUUGUUGCUGUUUGCUAAGAUCAACUAUACACAAGUCAAAUUUGAAUAUGAUAAAAAAAUGCUUGGAAAACCUUCAAACAUCAUACAUGGUAGGAAGUAGCAACAAAGUUCUAACACUUUUCCAGAGAGAGUAAUAUAUUUCAUUGGCUAUGAGCAGGAUUGUAGCAUAAAGACUUGACCUGCAUUGUCAGUGUCCCAGAAUUGUUGUCCUGCUCUCCAUGGAUAAGUAAAAUUGGUUUCUUGAUUUUGUUUGCAGACAUGAAAGGGCUCAUCUCGACAUAUGUACUUGUUGCCUCCCAGAGUGUUCUAUCCUCGUUCUGUAGAAAAAUCAGAUUGUUACUAAAGACUCAAAAUCUAUUCCAUGCAUAUAAACACAGCAUUUGUCUGUACCUGAAAACCAAAUGGGGUUAGAGUCCUGUUGUAAGCUCCAGAGCGAGCAAUUCCGCAGGAGAAAAGAUGAGGAGCAUGAGCCAGCAGAUUAGCUGUCAUGAAUGCACCAUAUGAAUGACCACCAACAGCAAUUUUAUCAGGGUGAGCCACCUAAAGAAAUACAAGAACAGGGAUCAUGUCAACUCUCAGAAGGUAUUGCUCAAGAUAGAAGAAUGUUUUAAGUAUUUGCAAAAAUUGAAGGCUCCACCUAUGAAUGAAAUUUAUAAAGUGCACCAUAAGAAACACUCAUAAAAAUGUCUGUCAUUGCAAAAAAACUCAUUUUGUAAACAUAUUUGUGUGAAUGAAGAGGUAGCAAAGGCUUACCCCUCUUUUGACAACUUCCUCGACUGCAGCCUCUGCACUUGCUACUAGUUGUUCCACAUAUCUGCAAUAUAGUUUGUAAUUCUGAAAUAGUAAAUAUACUAUGGUGUAAUAGCAUAGUUCAAAAUUACUUAGUCCUGCAGAAGGAUAUGGAAUAGAUUAGUAGCAAAUAUACCUGUCAUUGGCCUCUUCAUCGCCUUCACCAAUAAUUGGGAUUGUUGGACCAGACAGAAUAGCAAACCUGCAAAUCAUAGCAUUCAGUGUGUGUGCAUGUACCAGAAAAACAUAUUUGCAAGAGAUGGAUUAAAAAAAAGUUCCUUCAAAAAUUUUUAUUAAAGGUUAAAGGUGUGCAGAGGGCUAUUGUACAAUUUGAAUCACAGAAAUAGGAACAUAUAUCGUAUGCAUAUUCUAUUAUUAAUGAAUAACAAGAAGAGAAAAAUACCCUCUAGCUAACCAAAGAAGAGGAGAUGUAGCACCAAUCCCUGGAAAUUCAUUAGGGGAACCACGAACUUGACCAGCAGCAUCUUUGCUUUUAAAUUCACCAGGGUAGGACCAAACUAGACAUGGCAAAGGGCCAUCUUUUGAUGGAUCAUACCCUGGGGGCAGGUAUAAGUUUGCUGUAAGUUGAACUCCAUCCUUCCGCUGGUAUCUUAUCAUUUCCUUAUACAAGGAAGCAAGCUGAGGAUAUGGGUGGGGGAAAUUUGUGAUCUUAACUUGAUUCUUUUCUGGCCAAGUCUGCAAGUAAUAUUGUGUGUUUUCCGUUUUUGAUUCUUUCGAUGUAAGUAUCUUUAACUGAUCAAGGGACAGUUCCCCAUCAGUUUUGUCUGACAUCAGUGCAACAACAGUUUCAUAGUACUUUUCCCUGUCGCUCUCCCAUAUCCGUUCUUUACUCCCAGUAUUUCUGCAAAAGAAAAGGGAGGAACAAGCAUUUGCAUCAAUUGACAAAUGACAUAUAUUCUAGUAAAAAUACAGAACAUUGAUAAGUGGGUCUAAACAUACAUAUCAAACAAAUCGAGGAAUGGAACAUUUCCUUCUGGUGUGGCACCCAUCCCAUUCAACAAGACAUAAGUAUUUCCGUCUUCUUUCUUGAUCUUUGCAAUGACAUAUGUUCCCAUUGCAGUUCUUCGAAACAUUGGUGAGCCAGGGUCAGAGUAUACAUCUUCUGAAGAUCGGUCAAAUAAAAUGCGUGGGCUGACAUCCUUUUUAUCAGGAGAAAGCACCCAAGUUCUGAUUUUCCGAGUUUUAAACCAAGAUUCAUACACUAAAGCAAGAGAUUCAUCACACCAGGAGGUGCCACUGUUCCAACAGAAUGAAAAUCCAGAAGACAAGAAGAUUAGAAGAGUUAGUUUUCAAUUCAGUGUAGCAAAUGGACAGUGUAAAAAACAUGCAAUCUUGUUUACAUCCAGGCACCAGAGACACGAGCAACUUGAAGUACUGGACCUUUUUAGUUAUUACUUUUAGAAUGAAAAUUUUAUUGUUAUUCUUAUUCAUUUAAGUUUUAUGCUAGAAAUAUUGUAGCAACUGCAGUGAAGAAAAGCUGAAUGAUCCAUCUAAAGUAGCUAAUGUAUAGUUUGAAGGACAUACGCAUAGCGAAGGUCAAGUUUAUGCAGAAUCUCUGGGUGUUCGCCAUUUAUAGGCUCAGCAUUUUCCAUGUAAACUAUGUCACGAGGGGAGACUUCUACUUUUGCAUCUCCACCAUCUUGUGUCUCCACCCUGAUCAGAAGAAGGAUAAAGUAAAAAUGAGCUAGAACAAAAGAGUAGCUCAUGGAAACACUCAUAUAGCAGCCUUUGAUAAGUGAAAGUUAUACUCAAUUCUCAAGUAAAUGUUCAUCAUAAAUAUCCUAGAGCAUCUAAAAUAUAUAGAUAGCCUAAUAACAUGGUUUAUGCAUAAGAGAUCUGACAAUUAACAAGACUUGAAUGAACUGUUAACCCGUAUCACACUUCAUCAAGGCAGUAUCAAGACUUUGAGCAUCUCUAAUAAAAUUAAAAUAGAAAAAUCAAAUGUCAAUGCAAUUCUAAAAUGAGUAUGCUUAGUUAUAUUGGGCCGACGAUUAGUAAUUUUAUAUUGAUUUUAAAAGAUGGCAUUUUUGGUAAAUAUGCUAGUAGCACUGAAAAACUACAAAACAAAAUAGCAAACUCCCACUAAUUCUGAAUGUAAGUCAUUUAGGAGUUAGGACACAUGGUCUACAAUACUAACCUUUGACUAGCAAAUUCUUUUUUCCCCUCGGACAUGCAAGAGAGGUGAGCACCCUUAUAUUAAAGAGAUAAAGGAAGAAGAGGGGGGGGGGGGGGGGAUCCUGUACAAGGCAACCUACUUAUCUCCACUGGGAGAUAAAAGAAGGUUGCAAUAAAACAUGCAUAGCCUUAUCACCUGAUACAAUGACAAGUAAUUUCUAUGGCAAUAGGGGUGAGUGUGCGCUCGUGUAUGUGAGCGUCUGCGUCUAUAUCUCAUAGGGAUACUUAUGUAUUAUGAAAUUACUUGACAUGAUUUCUCAAACACGCAGGAGAAAUGUGUAUCAGUUCGUUAACAAGAGAUGAGGGAAAAACAGAACAAGGGUGGAAAAGAAACUCUCCCACCAAAAAGGCACACCCAAACACACACUACACAAAAACACAUCCAAUCACACAAGAACAAAGGAAGAAACUGCACCGAAAAACACAAAAAGGCAACUACUGACCCAAGGACUAAUAAUCGUGUGGCCACAUUAAGUGCCCUGACCAAAAGUUCUUGAAGAUCUUUCAAAUGGGCUCAGCACCAGAAGACACACUCAUCAGCAACUGCCUCUAAGGUUGUCCUGACAUCUGGCCUUGCCCCAUUAAAAAAUCAUUUUGGUGUUUCCAUAUUUAUCAUGCCAUUAGAAUGAGUGAGUUUAGUCCUUUCCUGAUUUCCCUAGGCAAGUUCUUGAUUGCCUGAUGCCACCAAUCUGAGAAACAGUUGGUGAUGGUCAGAGGUGCAAGGAGGAUCAGCCUGAAGGACAUCACUCCAAACCUGCUGAGCACAACCCCAGUUUUCGAUCCUCUUCUAAGGUACGAAGAGGAUCCUUCCAGGGAAAAAAACCAAUAUAUGCAGAUUUACUGCCAUAUAUUCCAGAAUAUGUACGAUUCCAACAGUGCUGGUCCAUUACUCCCAGUUGCAGAGUUCGAUCAUCAACCAACUCCCAAAUAUAUAGAUACUCUCUUAGGGCAGGAACAGUCAGUGCUCCUUUUAUAUCAGACACCCAGAACCAUGGCUUGAGGUACUGUGUGUUGUCAUGAUGAAUCUGUAGAGAAACACCGCACACCCUAAUCAGGGGGGGGUGACCUUCAUUAUAUAGCCUAAUAGGCUAGGGUUACAGUGUACAAGGCCAAUGGGCCGUACGCCCAAUAUGGGCUGUUACAAUAUAUUCUAACACCCUCCCUCAGUCUAAGCGGGAGUGUCACGAACACAAAGACUGGACCUAAAGUCAGUGAACAACUGUACAGGUAACCCUUUGGUCAUAAUGUCCGCAAACUGAUGGGAUGAUGGAACAUGGAGCACCCGAACCUGUCCCAAAGCAACCUUCUCACGGACAAAGUGAAUAUCUAUCUCAAUAUGCUUCGUGCGACGAUGAUGAACUGGAUUGGCGGUCAUGUAGACAGCACUGACAUUGUCGCAGUAGACGAUCGUCGCCGAAGAGACGGGUGCGUGGAGCUCCUGGAGUAACUGACGAAGCCAACAGGUCUCAGCCACAGCGUGCGCAACAGCACGAUACUCAGCCUCCACACUCGAACGAGAAACCGUCGUUUGUCGUUUGGAGGACCAAGAGACCAAGUUGUCGCCGAGGAAGACACAAUAACCAGAUGUGGAGCGCCGAGAGUCAGGACAUCCAGCCCAAUCAGCAUCGGAGUAGGCAGUCAAGCUGGUGAUGCUGCCUGUGCCGAUGUGAAGCCCAGUGGAGAGGGUGCCCUUGACAUACCGCAGGACACGCUUGAGCAUCGCAAGAUGAGGCUCGCGCGGGUCGUGCAUGAAGAGGCACACCUGCUGAACUGCAUAAGCGAGAUCCGGACGAGUCAGCGUGAGAUACUGUAGCGCACCGGCGAGGCUGCGGUACUGAGUGGCAUCCGCCACCGGUGCGCCGGCUGUAGCAGAGAGCUUGGCAUGAGUGUCAACAGGAGUCGCGGUGGAAUGACACUCAGCCAUGCCGGCGCGCUGGAGCAGAUCCACAGCAUACUGGCGCUGUGACAGGAAGAGACCGUCAACAGAACGGGUGACAGAGAUCCCAAGGAAGUGAUGGAGAUCCCCGAGAUCUGUCAUGGCGAACUCGGAGUGAAGAAGCUCGGUGAUGCGGCGAAGGAGCGGAGUCGACGAGGCUGUCAGAAUGAUGUCGUCGACGUAGAGCAGCAAGUAGGCGAUGUCGGCACCCGCUUUGUAAACAAAGAGGGACGUGUCGGAGGUCGAAGCAGUGAAGCCGGACCGCUGAAUGAAGCCGGAGAACCGCUGGUGCCACGCCCUGGGCGCCUGCUUGAGUCCGUACAAGGACUUUUGCAGGAGACAGACGUGGUCGGGGGCCGCCGGGUCGACAAAGCCGGGCGGCUGCUGGCAGUAGACGGUUUCGUGCAGAUGGCCGUGAAGAAAAGCGUUCUUCACAUCCAGCUGAUGUAUCGGCCAGGAGCGAGAGGCGGCGAUGCUGAGGACGGUCCGGAUGGUGGCCGGUUUGACAACCGGGCUGAACGUCUCGUCGUAGUCGAUGCCGUACCGCUGCGAGCCACGAACAACCCAUCGGGCUUUAUGACGAGCCAGAGAGCCAUCAGCAUUGUAUUUGUGCUUGAAGACCCACUUGCCGGUGAUGAUGUUGGCACGAGGUGGUCGAGGAACAAGACGCCAGGUGCCAUUGUCCACAAGCGCCUUGUAUUCUUCGGUCAUCGCCGCACGCCAAUUGGCAUCGGCGAGCGCGGCACGAGUGUUGCCUGGCAGCGGAGAAGCCAGGCUGGACGAAGCGGUGAAGCCGUACCGCUGCAUAGGCGGCGGUAGGGAGCCUGUUCGGGAACGAGUCUCCCGCACAGGAGGCUCUGGAGCCUGGAGCGCCACGGCCAGCGGUGCUGGGGCUGGGGGCACCACCGGCUGCUGUAGGGCUGGCGGCGCCUCCGCCUGCGGCUGAGGGACCGGUGGCGGGCGCGGGCGACGAGUGUAGUGGAUGCCGAACCGCUGCCGAUCAGCUGCAGCGUCGGGGGCGCCUGCUGUCGGAGAAGCCGAGGGGGCAGGCGUGUCCUGCCGGGGCGCCUGAUACAGUCUGUAGGCAGCACCAUGCCACAAGAUGGCAGGGUCCAGCCCAACGGGGUCGCCGGCAUCGUCUGCGGCAGAUGAGGCAGGCGCAACCGAAGUCCGCGAAUGCCGGACGUCUGAGGUGGACGGGGCAGGCGCGGGAAGGAUAUCCUGUAUCAAAAAAUCAAGAGAAUCCGGUUGGGGCUUGGAAGCCGCAAACGGAAAGUGAGUCUCAUCAAAAACAACGUGGCGAGAGAUGAUGAUCUUGCGAGUAGAAAGAUCAAGACACCGGUAGCCCUUUUGUGAAGGAGGGUAACCGAGGAAGACACACGCUGCUGAGCAAGGAGACAAUUUAUGGGGAGUCGUGGCACUAAGGUUCGGAUAGCACAGGCAACCAAAAACGCGAAGGAUGGAGUAGUCUGGCAUUUUGCGGUAAAGGAGAUGAUAGGGAAUACCAUUAUGUAUGGAGGAUGACGGCCGCCGGUUGAUCAGAAACACAGCGGUGGAAAGGGCUUCAACCCAAUAGGACGAAGGCAUAGCGGCAUGAAACAGAAGCGUUCGAACAGCAUUGUUCAGGGUGCGAAGCAUCCGCUCGGCUUUGCCGUUCUGGGCGGAUGUGUAGGGGCACGAGGUGCGAAGCAUGAUGCCGCGGCUAGCUAGGAAGGUAGCGGUGGCAUUGUUGAGAAACUCGGUGCCAUUAUCUGCCUGAAAACAGCGCACAGGAAAACUGAACUGUGUGUGAGCGUAAGCAACAAACUGGACAAUAUGUUCAUGAACUUCUGAUUUAUGGCGAAGAGGAAACAUCCAGCAAUAAUGUGUAUAAUCAUCAACCAUGACAAGAUAAAAUUUAAAGCCAGAAAUACUCAAAACUGGAGAGGUCCAGACAUCACAGUGAACAAGUUCAAAGGGAGCUGAUGUACUAGAAACCGAACUAGCGAAUGGCAGCCUAGCGUGCUUGCCAAGUUGACAGGCAUGACAAGUGUGGCGAGCUGCUUUAUUACACUGGAUAGCUGAUAGCUUAUUGAGAGUUGUGACGAUGGCAGGUGCAGGAUGACCAAGGCGGGAGUGCCAUAACUCCGGGGAGACGACGGCGACAUGGCAGCGAGGUGGCAUGUGGUGUGGAAUGGUGUAGAGAUCCCCAUAGCUAUUGCACCGAAGGAGGACCGUCUUGGUCUGCAGAUCCUUAACAGAUAAAUCAGAGGCGUCAAACUCAAUGGAACAGUUAUUGUCGCGAGUAAGCUGUCGAACAGAUAACAGAUUACGAGUGAGUUGAGGUGCGACAAGAACAUUAUCAAGAUGAAAAGGACGAUCAGCUAUUUGAAUAACAGAGGUGCCACGACUAUGAAUAGGGACGGAUUGACCGUUAACGACCGUAAUGUACGAUGGUGGCAACAGGAGACGGGAGAGUAAAAUACCGUCAUUGGAGGACAUGUGAGAUGUCGCUCCGCUGUCCAUGACCCAAGGUGCAGUCCCGCCCUAGAUCGCCAUCUGGUUGAGGGCGGCAAUCAGUCCGGCCGAGUCCCAGCUGCCCGGGGGCCCGUACGCUGGGGGACCGCCGGCAUGGGAGAACUGCGGAGGCGCGAAGGCGGUGUGUGCCUGUGGAGGAGGCGCAGAUGGUGCACCCCACUGCUGCGCAGGUGGCGCGCCCCACUGCUGCUGCUGGGGAGGCCACGGAGCAGCCCAAGGGCUGUAGCACACCCAGGGGCCGGCCUGCUGACGCCCGCCGAAAUUGCCGCCUUGCUGGUGGUUGCGUCCACCGCCGCCGUUGCCACCUUGCUGCUGGUGGCGUCCACCGCCGCCACUGCUGCUGCCGCCGUUGCCACCACGGCUGCCCUUGCCCUUGCCACCCUUGCCCUUGCCACCGCCCCCACGAUUGGUGAACGCAGGAGGGGUGGACUGGCAGGACGGCGAUGUGCAGGCAGAGGUGGUGGAGGCAACCAGAGCUGAGGCCGAGGCCGCCUUGCCCUCAGUGCCAAGGCGGAUUUCCUUGACACGAAGCAUGUUGGUGGCGGCUUUGAAGUCGGGAAGUGGCGACGUGUUGGAGAUGAUGUCAGCAGUGUUGGCGAAGCGGGGGUUAAGGCCACGCAGAAGGUUAAGCACCAGCUGAGCAGGAGAGAUAGUGUGGCCGACCUCCCGGAGGGCAUCGGCGGUGCGCUUCAUCUGCUGGGCGUAGGCGUCGAUGGAGAGGUCGCCCUGGAGCAGGUUGUGGAACUCCUGCUCGAGGACGACGGCGCGGGACUCCUUGUUCGCCUGGAACAAGGCCUCGAUGGAGACCCACAGAGCGCGCGCAUCCUGUUCGGGUUCCAUAGCGAGGUCGAGGACGGCGUCGUCGACGGAGCCGUACAUCCAGCCGCGGAUGCAGGCGUCAGGCUGAGACCACAGGGUGUCAGCCGGGCGCGCGGCGCUGUGCCGUUGAUGUGGCCGAGCAGACCGUACUUGCCGCAGAGGGCGGUGAAGAAGGCCUUCCACUUGGAGUAGUUCGGGCGCUCGAGGCUGAGCGCGAUGGGGACGUGCUGCUUGACGUUGACGGAGGCGUAGGCGGCGAAGAGGGGGGCGGAAACAGAGUCCCCCAGAGCACCAGACGACUGGGCGCCGGUUAUGGAGGAGGAACUCGACGAGGACGACGUCAUGGGCGCAGCUGGCGUAGAGAAGAUUCGCGACGUAGUCCACAGAAGAGUCGCGGGAGGCCGCAGGACCGCGAGCCGCACGUGACGAAGAGGACGAACGGCGCGAGGGCGGACCUGGGCGCGCGUCCUGGAAAACGGCGGCGCGAAGGCGGUCGCGAUCGAGCCGCGAACCGCGCGUGACGGCCUGGGCGCGGAUCGCGAUUGAUCCGCGCGGUGACGGCCUGGACGCUGAUCCGCGCGGAAGGCAGCGUCGCGAGAUGGCCAGGGAGGCGGCGGCGCGCGUGGCCUGGGAGUGCGCGCGGCCUGGAAGGAAGGCGGCGGCGCGUAGGGCGCGGCCGAUGGUGCGGUGGCGCGCGGUCUCAGAGAGAUCGCACGGGCGGAGGAGGAGAAGCAAAGCGGAAGUUUAGGAUCGUAAUUAGAGAGGAUACCAUGUAGAGAAACACCGCACACCCUAAUCAGGGGGGGUGACCUUCAUUAUAUAGCCUAAUAGGCUAGGGUUACAGUGUACAAGGCCAAUGGGCCGUACGCCCAAUAUGGGCUGUUACAAUAUAUUCUAACAGAAUCUAGUAGCAUCAACCUUUUUUUCCUCAAACGGUGCAGGAGAGCUACGUGCCAUUUCAUUAAGAGAGAAAAAGUACAGGGGGGAGGGUAAACAGCCCCGCCCGGAAACACAGCACACUCACACCAGAUAGAAACAACAAAUAAACUCUCCAGGAACUAGAUGAAAACACGGCCAAGGGGGUAGCAGCCUACCAACCACAGCCUUAUAUAGGUCUGGGGAGGGCAACCUAAUGAGAAGCUCCUGAAGAUUAGAGGCACCCGCUAUGCACCAAAGACUACAUUCAUCAGCCACUGUUUUCAAGAGACCCUGAAUGUUUGGUGAGGCACUCUCAAAAACACAGGUAUCGACCUAAUGCUGUAAAUCUAUUUAGAUUUUUGGCUAUUGGUGGUCAAAGCCAAAUAUGUUGACUUAGGACAAACCUACGAACGAUCUAAAAAAUUUGGAAUUGGAGGGACUAAUAUUCUACAUAGGAUAUAGCAGUACAAUUGGAAUGCUGCAAAAAGAAAAACAUGCAUUUGCAUAAAGUCAUAUUUAUCAGAAUUCAGCUUUAAGUGAAACUGGUUAAUUAAAGCAAAAGAUAAUAUAUGGAAGCUUAUCAAAUAUAGUCAGAACCAAGCAAAAAGGGCAAAAGAAAAGUUAUGAUUACCAUGAAAGCAAACAUUUUUAUCUCAUGCUGAUAGGCAAACUACCAUCAUGUUUCACUUUCAACCCCUGAAGAGGAGUGCCCAAGUUUCAAUCAAGAGUGUCCCAUGGAGGGCUAUGAAAAUGCAACUAUACUACUGCAGAAUGCAGAUGCUACUGUUUGUGUUAUGUGGCUGCUAGGGUUGAGGGAGAUUGAUUGGGAUUGAGGGAGCGGCAGCUGAAGACAUGAACAGUACCUGCGCUACAGUAGCAACGGGUACUGUUCACAGGGAGGCGGCCGUGAGAGCGAGAGAGGAGGCUAGGGUUUGGGCGCUAGGAACGCCGGCCGCAGGGCUCUGCCCACGGCCGGCAAGAGAGAAGAGAUUUUUCCUUCUAAUCUCUUGCUUGAUUAGAUUGAUACAUCUCCUCUCUUUAUAUAGAGAGGUUUACUUGACUUACAAGCAAGACUUACUUGGCCCCUAAGCAAGUGACUAAUUAACCCUAAUGGGCUAAGGCCCAAUAGGUCAUUGACUCUUCUAACAGUUUGAAACUAUACUACUAUAGAACUUACUGUUUGAAAUUAUUUAUUUUUUUGCAUAGUGACACCUGACACACACUAGGUCAGGCUUCGUGGAACCAACAAAAGAACACAAACUGUUCAAUUAAACCAAUUUUCUUUAAGGUAGUCAAUCUCAAAAGUCAUAGAUGGUAGACAAACACAUAUUUUGCCUCGACAGGUUUUUUUUUUUUGCUACUAAUAUAGGCACUUACCCAUAUUUUGGACAUGGAAGAGAUCUUUUAUGGAAAAAAAAAUAUAGCAUUGGUAUUGAUGUUUUGUUUCUGGAUCGCUAAAUUUGGCGUUUUAAGUGUGAAUUAUGACAUUUGGAAGGUAAACCAUGAGGAUAAGUUUGAAUGGAUGGGCGCUAACAAAUUUUAGUUCAAAUCAUCGAAGUUGAGACCAUAACCAUAAAUAAACAAACAAGUAGGAUUGUCAUUCGACCCCUAUUACACUGUUCCUGUAGGGUUUUACACUUCUAGCAUUAAAAUUGAGAUUUUAACUACCAUGGUUGGCUUGAAGUCUUUCUAUUUCCACGCAGCUACUUAACUGAACUAUAUUACUCUAUUAUCACUUUGUAAGCUUAUGUUGAGGUACAGUAUGAUGUUACAGAAGGAAUUCAUCUCUAAAUAAACGAAAAAAAAUACCAAUGCAAAUUUUAGUAACAUACCAGUACAGUGUCGAAGGUUUGUCUGCCCUCCAAUUAAUCGAGCGCUUUCCCUUGCGUACACUGCUCAUCGUAAUUGGAAUGUCCUCAGCCAGGGGCAAAUCACAAAGUUCCCUAAUGAACUUUCCAUCUACAGUCCACAAUUCAACUUUCUUUGGAAACCUCCCACAAGGUACAAUGUAGGAAUAUGGGCGGUGGAUAGAAGAAAGCAUUAUGUAUUUAUCAUCCGGUGAUGGAUCAACAGAUGUAUAUAUAGCUGGAGGGCCAAUUGGCUUCACUGUUCCAUCCAAAGAAGCUAACACAAGCUGUGAGGUUGCAUAGUAAUCAAAUAGCUCAGCAUCAUACUCAUCUUUCAGCAGAUCUUGGAAAGUUCUCACUUGGACUACAUUCUUUGACUCAUUAGACUGAAUUUUUGGGCCAGAUGGAACUGAUGGCUUAUGUGGUGGAGCUCCACGUGUCGCAGGAAUAGUGCAGACUAACAGUGUACAAUCAUUAACCCAUACAAAGCUGCAACAAUAGCAGAAACAAUGUUAGUUACAAGCAAGAACUAGAAAAGAUACCGUGCAUAGAGAUUCAGCUUCACCUGUCAAAAAUAGCAUUUAGGUAUAUCUCAGGCGAUUUAAAAAGUGGCCUUGCCUCUCCAGAUUCCACAUCAGCAAUCCAUACUCUCAACUUUCCACUUUUGCUGUCCUCCUAUUGUAAAAACAUCAGAAUUCUUAUAAGUAAUUAUUAAAAAUACAUAAAAACUGUUUGCUGUCUGUCUUAAAGACAACCGAUCACCUCGUCAACUCGAACACUGAAGGAUAUAUGGCGGCCGUCUUGUGACCUAUUCACCCAGUUCAGGGCAAAUCGUGAUGCGAUCCACGAUAGAAACAGAAUAUUAUUUUUGAAAUGUGAAAAGCAAAGUAAAAAAUGAAAAAGAAAUAGCAAAAAAGAUACUUAAUUGAAACUAUAUAAAAUUACCAGGUAACAAAAUUAAUCCUUGCACCUACUGGGUAUCCAUGCACCUCUUUCUCUGGGCCCAAAGUCCCAUCGUCCAAUAGCUUAUGGAUACCUAUUCCAGUGUAGAAAGACCUACAAAUUAGAUGUAUCAGAUAUACAGUAGUGACAUGCUAAACCUGUCAUGAAUUAAAGGAAAUAAGGAAAAAAGCACCUAAAAUUUGGCCAAAGCUUUAAGUGUUACUUACAUUCGGCUCCUAGUAUUAGAAUUGCCAUCGAUCCUUAGACCAGCAAGCUUCUCCUCAGGCUUUGCAAGGUCUGACAGUGGUGGCAGUGCUCGACGCUUUAGGAACAGAAUUUUGUCUUUGUUUGGAGAGAAUGACAAGACAGGAAGUGGUGGUGCGUCAACAAUAUCCUGUAUUUCUUUUGGAGGAAGGCGGUAGCCCAUGUCCCCAGAUGAAAGACCUGCAUGGUAUGCAAAUACAACAGCUGUUCACUUCUAUAUUGUAGUUUGUUGUGGAAUUAAAUCCAGGACAUAACAUGCUCAACCAGCAACAAAAUAUAAUGUUGAAAUAGCAUUAAAAAAAACCAUGUAUGACUCGCAAGAGGAAAUAUAUAGAGCCAAUUGAGUAGACUAUUCUGUGCUCCUGUCCUGUUCGCCCUCAUUUCUUAGCGCUGAGCAAAUAGGCACACUGUCAGUGAAGCAUUGACUGAUCGUCACUGGGUCCAGGACAUCCAAAGAGAUCUCUUGGUGAUACCAUUGUCACAAUACCUUAAAAUAUGGAACGUAGAAGCUAAGGUGGAGAUACAACGGUGUACAGGACUAUUAGAAAUCCUAAUGGGAAUGUACAGCAGUUUGGUUCCCAGCCACCUCACGUAGAUGUUUGGUCGACGAUUGAACGUAGACGACCACAAAAAUGUGCAGUUCAGAUGGGUACUAAUCUCGCCACAGAUUGUGGCGGCUAUUUCCUGCGUCUCACCUCUGAUGUUGCCGCACCUGUGGUGUGGACAGUAGUGGCCGGUAACCAAGCAGCCCCAAAGUCAACCUACGUGUAUUUCUGCAUAGGAUACAUCCCCUUGAGCCGUGGAAAUUGAGAUGGAAAUCAUGGACUCCCAAGAAAUGGCAGUUCUUCCAUUGGUUAGUAUUCCAUAGCCGUUCUGUACAGCAGAUCGUUUAGCUCUACAGGAGUUGAGACAUGUGGAGGUAUGUGAUCAGGAAAGUGAGACGAUCCACCACAUCUUGGCCACUUGUAUCUUCUCAACGUCCCUUGCUGCUUAUACAUUUUGGCCUCCCAGAUUUGUCAUGAGAAUCCAGUGAUCCACCCACUAUAGAAUUUGACGAUUGGUGGCCCAAGACGAUUAACAUGGUGACAAGCUCUAUGGAGACUGGAUUGAAGUCUUUGAUCACUCUUGGUGCUUGGAUAAUUUGGAAACAUCGAAAUGAUUGUGUGUUAAUGGGAUCUUGUCAUCACGCCUGGUGGGUCAUGCAGCUCACUAGAGAUGAGGUCCAGCUUUGGGUCAUGAUCUGACCAUUGUUGGGGGAUUAUAAGUGUUUGUCGUUUUGGUUUUUGUUUGUGGCAUGCAUGGAAUUAGACAUGAGUGUAAGUUGACGAUGUCGGUGGCUGGCGUGUGUUGUACUUUAAGUACUCUUCUUUCUAACGCAAUGAUGUGCAGCUCGCCUGCGCAUUCAAGAAAAAAAAAUGUAGUGGACUAUUUGCUCUCAUGAUGAGCAACAUAGUACUACAAUUGUCUGUCACACUAGCCCAGACCCAAAAGUCUGGCUUCAUUCAACUCCCCACUGUGUUAAGGUAAUAUUGUCUCUACCAAUCAAAACCAUCAGCAUCAAAACUUAGUUAAGACAAUCCCAAGAUAAGUUUCACUAUUCUUAGUAGGUUAGGGGGUGUUUGAUUUGGGCUGCUAAACUUUAGUCCCUCCUAAAUGGUUUAGUCCCAUUUAGUAACUCCAGAGUUGCUAGAGAGGACUAAAGCCCAUUUAGUCAUAGUGUUUGGGUAAAAAGUGACUAAAUGGGACUAGAUUUAGGAGCUCCUAGCUGGACCAAGCACCCCUUACUCGGUUCACAAAACAACUACAGGAUAGAACCGUAAAAGAAGAUUUAAGGCCAGCUGAAUAUGAGUGUAGUCUAAUACUGUGGUUUAGAAACUUAAACAAAACCAGCCAUAUCUUUUCCUUGGCAACUAAGAUAUGAUCGCUCCGCAUAUAUAAACCAUAAAGCACAAGCUUAUGUUAGUUGCAAAAAGAUGAACAAAGCGUCUUGUGCGUGAUAUUCACCAGCGAGAUGCAUUAGCCUAUCCAAUCGACCAAUCACGGCGCAUAAAGUCAACUAAGCUCCAAUCUCGCCACCAUCGACCCACCAAUCCACUAAAACCCACAGAUAAGCCAAGUUGCGAUCAACAGCACAACGCAACGAUCGCUCCGAGCGAGGGUGACGUACCAUCGUCUUCCUGGGCCGCGGCGGAUGCGGCCGGCGGCGACUCACUCGACUCCCCGGCCGCGCCGCCCCCGCCGCCGGUGGCAGCAGCGAUGUGCGACAGCCUGGACGCGGCAGAGCUCAUGGCGCUCCGGCGGGGCGGGUGGAGAUGCCGCCGCGGCUGAGGAAGUGGAAGGCGUAGAGUGGUGGCGCGAGCACGCAGAGGUGAGAACGACAGCAGACCUAGGCGGAGGCAGGAUCUGUGCAGGAUGGAGAUGGAGGACAUGAUUUUUUUUUUCGGGGUCGCGCUUCCGUCUUUGUAUAUACAGAUAGCGUAGGGGAUUAGCUUUUAGACAUGCUGUUGCUGCUUUGUGUUCCGGCAGUGAAGAGAGGCAGAGAAAGAUAUUUCUGCUCUUUUCCGCAGCAAAAGAAAUAUGUUUAAAACAAACGACUUGCACAAAACUCAUCCCAAAAUUACCAUACGUAUCAAGUAAACCCCGCAUUGCAAGAAGAUCUAACGAAUUCUUUCCACUAAAACUAAAAGCCGUUUGGAUCCUUUUAUUUUGGAGAAAUUUAGAAUCUACUUAAUAGAUUAUGUUAUUUGCCGAGCAUCUCAAAAAAUCUCACUCUCUAAAUUAUCAUUUAGAGAGCUAUUUGCAUAAAAAUCACUUUUUAUAUUUUUUUUACUUUCCAACAGUUUUGCUAAAUCUCAUGCGCACUCUAGAGAGUCAUUCUCGUCUUUUAUAUUUGGUUAUUGAAAAACCCGGAAUAGACAAUGACUAUAUUUGGAUGACCAUUUAGAUAAGCUGUUGGAGGGUAAUUUUUCACCAAAAUUGUUAUUCCUAGCAUUUAGGAAGAAUAUACAAAAUCUUUUGGAGAUGCUCUUAGAAUUUGAUAUUCUAUAAGUUUUCUAAGUUCACAUAUAAGUCUAACUCAAAUUCAUAAGAUGAGAUAGAAAUUAAUAAUUCUAUAGACCAUCAUUCUAUAUUUCUACUUUAAACUUAUAGCAAAAACUUUUUUACUCGCUUCCCUAGUAAUGAAACAUAUAAGUAUCUCCCUUUUAUAGCUAACAAUAGUAUACAAAUAUCAACCAUAUUAACUUAAUUAGUUUAUGUCUGAAUUAUAAUUAUUAGAAUGAAUCAAAUUCCAAGGAUCUAAACAGUUUUUGAAUAUAAAUACUAGACUUUGCUGAGGCUGCUUUUGUGUACGUUAGUGGAGAUAGGCAGAAAGAUAUUUCUGCUAUUUUCUGCAGCAAACAAUCUAUUUAAAACAUAGGAUUCGUACAAAAUUCAUCCAAAAAGUAUCAUACGUGCCAUGCAUUUCAAUAUGGUGUCUUAUUAAGAACCACUACUCCAAUUAUCAUUUAACACAUGAUUUUUGUUUGCUUUGCUUUCUGCCUCGUAAGAUCCAGGUACCUUCUACUUUGGUACCUUUGGCACUUUUCUCGGUGGGAAGACUUUUCGUCCUGAGCCAUCAUCAUCUGUCGUCUGUGGAUGAACGGGCGAGCGAGAGGGCCGUCGUUUCCUCUCCAGUCUCCACCCCUCGUUUGUCUCCCUGUAGUUCGAUGCUUUCUGGUGUGGAUGUGGCGAGCACCGGCCGAAUGAUUGCUUGGUAAUCCACCUGGUUUAUUUUCGUCCUGCCAAAUCCCAAUGGCCAUUCAUGCUCGCAGCGACGUGAAGAUCUCAGAGCCACAGGUGGUACAAAGCUGUUCCCUGAGUUUUAAGGACACGGGUAGUACAUGCAGUCUUUCAGAUUUGGUAUAAAUUGCAUCUUAUGGGGCAAAAUUUGCAACAAAAUUUUGCGGCUUGAGUCUACACUUCUGUUGAGUCAAGAAUUUCAGUUAAAAUACCCUUCAGAACGGAGUCUUCAGUAACUGAAAAGCUUACAGAACACAAGGGUAUAUAUCAAGUUGCAUAUGAUAAAAUGUACGUAGCAUCAAGUUGCCAAAAAAGUACUGGCAGACAGCACGAAUCAAACAUUAGAGACAGUAUCCCCAACAUUUUUUAACAAGAUACUCCUCAUAGCUUUUUUUUUUUGAGGGUCAACGGGAGGGAGGCGAUCCCCACCUGAUAAAUUAUAAUAGGCCCGAAACGGCCGAAUGGGUAUAGUUUACAUAUGUAGAAAGUACAGAGCAGCAAUCUCAUGCUGCAAAUAGAUUCAAAGAGAGGAGAGUGGGAGAAUCUAGCCUAGCCUUGGCCUUGCCUAGCCAUCUGCACGAUGGUGCACCAGUGUGUUACGGAUUGCCUCUUUGCUCUUGGUAUUCUGAAUUGCCAAAGCUCGGCUGCCGCUUUGCAGUCCAAAAGUACGCGGUCGACAGAAUGGUCUUCGUUCCUGAAGACCUUCGCAUUUCUAGCCUUCCAAAUUUGCCAGCAGACCAGCGCAAUGAAAGUGGGAAGCUCAGGGAUUGCAGUCGAGGCGGUGUUCAUGAACUGUGCAGCUGACCCAUGUCCAUGGAGAUCAUGGACUGCAGGUUGAGUCUCGUCCAGACCUCCCUCCCAACCGAGCAUCCGUGAAUGAUGUGUUCUGGCGUCUCAUCCGUGGCGUUGCAGGUUAGACAGAUUGCAGAAUCCACUAUGUGCUUCUUGAGCAAGACUGCCCUGCACUGGAUUCUUUUUUGCAGCAGCAGCCACAUGAAUAGCUUAACCCGAGGCGGUGCCAAGGAUUUCCAGAUGAAGAUUGCCCUGGGGUCUGAAGGUUGGCCCCUAGCCUUGAUCAUUUUGUAUAAGGCACUAGUGUCAAGGCUAUUGUCUGGGUUUAUGAAGUCAGAGAUUCUUUUGUCAGGUGCUUGUGAGAGCGAUGUCCGGUCAAUGAGCUGCUGCACAAGAUGCAUCUCUUGGACUGCUAUCGCAGAGAGACGAGGUACAAGCGUGUGUUGAAUCCCUGAUAGUUUGGCCUCCCUUACUGUCUGCACUUUGAUAUUGCAAUGCGAGUAAAUUGCUGGGUACUUGUCCGCUAGGCACUCCUCACCAGCCCAAACAUCGUUCCAUAAAGAGCAACUGCCGCCAUCGCCGAUCUCCACCGUGGUGAUAGCAUGGUAGAGAGGUAGGAGGGUUCUCAAGGUUUGCCAAUGAUCCCCAUGAAGAUCGCCCUGCAGAGUGGUGAUGGUUGCACGUCCCUGGACCCAUUGAGCCCAAGCCGAUGACUGGGGGCAGUGAAGGCGGUGAAGUAGUUUCAGAAGUAGGCAGAUGUUCUGAACUCCAAGAUCUCUUAUGCCGAGCCCUCCAAGUUCCUUUGGGAAGCAGAUGUUGAACCAGGCGACGAGACAAGAUGCCGGAGUAGAAUGACCGGAUUUGUCGCCCGACCAGAGGAACGCCCUUUUCUUCUUGUCCAUUUGCUCAAUAGCUGAAGGAGGGAGUUGAAGUGAGCUCAUGAGGUAGACCAGAAUGGAGUCAAGUACCGAGUUCACCAAGACCGCUCGCCCCAUCGGGUUUAGCAGAUCAGCCUGCCAGGACCCUAAGAACUUGUCUGCUUUUUGAAUGUAUAUGUUGAAGGAUGAAACCGGUAGCUUGUUGGCAGACAGUGGCAAUCCCAGGUAAGGCUGAGGGAAGCUCCCCUUGGUACAUCCUAUGAUCUGCACACAGUCACUGAUCGUUUGUUCAUUAGCAUGAAUAGGUACUAGAGUACUCUUAUUGAAGUUUAUAUGAAGCCCACUGAAAGCUGCAAACUGAUCUAGGAUUUCUUUUAGCUUCACUGCCCCGGCCACAUUGGCCCCGAAGACAAUCAGCGUAUCGUCCGCAUACUGUAGAACUGCGCAGGGCAACGCUUCAUCAGUCGGAUGUUUGAUCUGGUCUGCGUCCCUGAUCAUUCGCUGCAAGGUUUCUGCCACCAGGAUGAAAAGAUAUGGAGACAAAGGAUCUCCCUGACGCAACCCUCUCUUGCAAGUGAUCCAAGGUCCGGGGUGGCCAUUAACUAGAACUGCAGACUUGGAGGAAACUAGUAGCCUCAGCAUCCACCCGAUCCACCUUUGGUCGAAGCCUCUAGCCUGUAGAACCCUUCGCAAACCCUCCCAAAUGACAGUGUCAAAAGCCUUUGCAAAGUCAAGCUUGAGUACAAUUGUCGGUAAUCUUCUUUUGUGACAGGUCUGGACCAGUUCCGCUGCAUACACAAAUGUAUCGGUGAUCGAUCUCCCUUUAACGAAGCCGGUUUGAUGAAUAUCAAUUAGUCUUGGAAUCUGCUUCUGCAAUCUUGUUGUCAGAGCUUUGGUCAAAAUUUUCAGAGCACUGUUUUGGAGACAGAUAGGCCUGAAGGCGUCCACAUCCACAGCAUUUGGCUUCUUUGGCAGCAGGACCAUAUGAGACCGGUUUAUGCGCUCAAGAUCCGCCUGGCCUUGGUGGAAAGCUUCUGCAAAAUCAACUAUCGUUCUCUUGACUGACGGCCAAGCCACACGGAAGAAAGCCGGGCCGAAACCAUCCGGGCCCGGCGCACUCAGGCUGUUCAUUGCGAGCACAGCCUUUUUGAGCUCGCCUUCGGAGAAGCGUCCUGAGAUGUCCUCGUCCGGCCUCGGCAACCCAGCAUAGAUGGCUUCAAGAUCCAUCAAAGUCAUUUGCCCAGGAACCCCGAUGAUCGACUUGAAGAAGGUUGAAAGGGCCUCAGUUUUCCCUGCAUGACUGACAACUUCUUGGUUGUUUACUCUGACCAUCCUGAUGAAUUUGCGUCGCAUUUGCAGAGUUGCAUGAGCAUGAUGGUAGGCAGUGUUGGCAUCACAUUCCUUGAUUAUCUUUUGCUUGCUUCGUUGACGCCAAUAGGCAGCUUUUGCUUUGAGUUCCUGUUGAAGGCGUUCUUGAGCGAGGCUGCGGACCUGGAAUUCCGCCUGCGAGAGUGCACGUGAUUCUUCGAAAUAAUCGAAAAGCCGCAUUAGGAAAUGACAGUUUUGUAUUAUUUGUGGUGGUGCCCUGUUACACCGUUUCCAAACCUUUGCCGCGGCGCGCGCGGCCUUGAUGCACGCGACCAGUUGUCCUGCAGCGUCGUUGCACGUCACAGCCUGUUGCCAACCCUGAAUGACAGAGUUGAGGAAGGAUUCAUUCCUGAGCAGGAAGUUGUCCAGUCUGAAGAAGUGUGUCUUCGGAAUAUCGGAGGAGAGAGAUAGGAGCAAAGGAGUGUGAUCAGAGGUUGGGCGUGGCAGGGAAGAAAGGUUAGCCGACGGGAAGACCAGAUCAAGAGGAGCAUUGGUGAAGACUCUAUCCAGCAUGGCUAGAAUCGGAAAGGAUUGUUUGUUGGUCCAAGUAAAUCGCCGGUCGGAGAGGUCAACCUCACGAACCAGAACUUCCUGGAUAGUUUGAUUGAAAGCAGCAGCUAGGCCGGCGUUAAAAACGCCAUUGCUCUUAUCGGCGGCACUUCGGACAAGGUUGAAGUCGCCGAUCAGUAACCAGGCUCCGGAAACCAAUUGCUUGAUGUCACGGAUCUCCUGUAGGAAAGGGGCCGUGGAAGAGUGAUCGGAAGGGCCAUACACAUUGGUGAUGGUGAUGUCAAAGUUAGAGGCGUUGCAGGAGAAGGAAGAGGUGAGACUGUAAGGGUUGGAAAGGUGAGAGUUGAGUGUGAACAGAGAAGGAUCCCAGGCAGUGAUGAGUCCACCUCUGGACCCAUCUGCUGGCCUCAGGACGGAAGAGGAUGAGAGAGGGCGGGGCAGAAAAGAUUGCGCUUUGAAAAAGUUGACCUCGGAGAGUUUGGAUUCUUGAAUACAAAUGAACGAAGGUUUAGCAUCAGAAAGCACAUUGCGCACCACAUUACACUUGUCCGAGUCGCCUAAACCUCUAACAUUCCAUGAAACAACGUGAAAGCGGCGAAAGCUAGAGCUCGAGUUCGUGUUCAUUUCGCAAGAUUACAACACCAGAAGGCAUCAACAAGCCAACAACUCAGAAGAAGAAGAAAGCUGGAAAAGGAAAGAAAGAUAGGUGCAUUUCCGUUCUCACACUCCCAGCGACCGUUGGGACAGAAAUGCAAGUCGCCGGGAGGGCCAGCAGACGCGCGCAGGAUCAUUCAGCCGCUUCAGUCACCAAGUCGGAGCCCUGGCCGACAUCGAUCCCGUGCGUAGAGCCCAGCUUCGCCGCAGCGACCAGGGCGCGCAGCUCAGCCACACCCAGAGGCAGCAGGUUGCGCGAGAGGAUGUUGCGCUUGGUGACUUGCUUCUUUAGGGACAACGAGCAGGCAGACAGCGAGUUCAGCAGCUCUUUGCGCUGAAUCGCCUGGGUUGCCGUGUCCACGAACUUGCCCGACGCCAUGGCUGCCUUAGCGGCCAGACGGGAGCUCGAACGACGAGCGGUGGAGUUCGCAGCCGAAGUCAUUCUGGCCACCCUGGCUUGGUCGCCAGAGCGUCGCGGUGCCGCCGCGGGCGGGACGCACAGCUUGGUGCGUAGGCGUCGGCGCUGGUAGGUGAUCAGCGGCUUUGUCCCAGCGCCGCGUGCAGGAGGAGGCACGUCGGGCGAACACCUUGUCGUGACAGACGUAGGGACUGGUGCAGCCGGGGUGGCAGACGGCGGGGUCGGGCCCGCGGAGGCAGAAGGUGCGUUGAUCGCACGCGCCAGGACGAGCGCUAAGGCCAGUACCUGCUUGGGCAGCAAGUAGCCGGUGGACGAACCGGACUGCGCCGAGACGCAGAGAGGGUUGAAAGAGCGUUGCAGGUUGCUAGCAUGCCUGUGGGAGUUUCCAGUCGGGAAGGCGAGGCUGUAGAAGUGCGGUUGCGGACGGACCUGAUGCAGCGGGGUCGGCGGCCCCAUAGGCCCCAAGGAUGGCCCCGGGGCAGGCGGCGCUGGCGGGCCAAAGAAGGAGGAGAGGUUGCCGCGACUAUCAAGCUGGAACUCGCGCGGCCACACCCUAAUGGGUGUAAUCCGAGCCACAGCACCAGAUCUUCCGACACCACUCUUGCAGGAGAUGCGCAGCUCCUUGGGGAUCUCUAGGCGGUCAUUGACCUCCAGGAGAAGCCGUAGAGGGCCAAAGUUGUCGCCAGUGAGGCACUGUGGGUCGAUUUCUGCCACUUCAGCGAACCCGCUAAAGCAGGCCUUGAUCUUCUCUUCAUACUAGUGCUCGUUGGGAAACCAGUCGACGGAGACGAACGCGAGCCAUACAGGCACGCGGAAGAAACGGUUCGCCGUCUCUUCCGGCUUCAGAAGGUGUAGCAGGGACCCCCCGAAGUGAACCGGCCCCAGCAGACUGAGGGAGUUGCGAGCUUCAGGGGAUUCGCAGCGCAGGAGCAUGGCGCCCAUCGAAGAUUGCAGUAGGUCCACGGGCUGGAGCGGGGCGAUGGAGCGUAGCGCGUUGCGGAUGAACGCGCUAACCUCAAGCACGGGGACCGGAGGCUCGAUGAAGGCAAAGAGCAGUCGAUCAGCGAGCUCAUCCCGACCCGGGGAGACCCAGGCAUCCGCAUGCCGGGGGCACCCCUCGUGCCAGGAUGAUCCCGAGGAGAAGGAGCCGGAGUCCAGAUCAAGCUCGCCGCUGGCAUACUCGUCCGCCGAGGAAUCUCCCACGCCCCCCAUGCCCACCUCCACGCCCACCUCCACGGCAGCAGAGGGCACGGGUGAAGGCGUGAUGCUUGGGUCUGUAGGGGAGGUCUGUCUUGCCGCUCCCAUGGGCUGAAGCCGUGGCGAGCACACGCCCGGCAGGAUGAACUUAUCGACGCAGGGGGGGUCAGGCGUCAGCAACGAUAGGGGACGCAGGGAUUGCGUGCUCAGAACUUCGACAGACGGCGGCGGGACCGUGGAGGAGGAGGCCACCAUGUUGAUCGGGAGAAAAGCCGCCGAGGCGGGGUGGUGGAAGUCCGACGGGGGCUCAUCCUCCAGCCGCAAGGAAGGUUGCCCCGCCGAGGCCGGGGUGGCGGUCGUGGCGUUGUCGACACCACUAGGCCUGGGCGGCGUUGGAGCGCGCAUGCGCUUGGCUGCGGCACGGAGGAGGACGCAGAGCUUCAUCUUGCACUGGUUGCUGCGGUGCCCCGAGGCGCGACAGCGACGGCAGCGAACAGGUUCGCGGCAGUUGUCCACCAAGUGGUCAGUGGCAAGGCAGCGGUAGCAGGCCCGCGAUGGGGCAAGGGGUUUUAGGGUUUUGAACACUUGGCGAGAAGGCGCCGGAGGAGAGCGCGCGGCCUCGACAUAACUCUUGGGCCGUCGCGCAUUGAAGUCGGGCAAAGGGGGCACGUCCAAGGCUGCACCAGCUGUGGCGACAAGACGUCGCGCCGCUGCCCCAACACCCGGCACGACGCUAAAAGGACUAGGCGGUACACUCAAAAGAUUUUCAGGGACAGACCCGAGGCGGAUUGCCUCGGGAGCCGGCGAGGGACAGGCCGUAAUGAUGCUGGUGGUUGGGCGGACGCCGGCAGCCAUAACUGAGGAGCCUUCGUUUUGAAUCUGGCGUACAGUCGCAGCUGCUAACGGGGAUAGACGGGAAACAGCACGCAGGGCAGAGUCCAGGGAGGGAUGGAAGAACAGCUGCACAUCCGCGAUGCGCAGAACGCCAACAAGAGCCAAAGCAACAGCGAACUUCUUGCUCGAAACGGUCACCACGAACACAGCGUCAUGAAUACGUUUGACAUUGAGGCGACUCGGACGCGGUGCAAGCAAGUGGCAAAGCGAAUUCGUGAUGAAAAACUCAUUGAAACGGGGAUCAAGGGACGGAGGAGUUACCCAGAGAGGCGCCGGCGCCGGCGACGGGCAGAGGAGGUUGGGGACGAUGCAGUCAUGGAGAUCGGAGAGGAGGCGAUUCUGGAGAUCAAACCGGGUUGGCGUAGGCGGGACGACGAAACACCGAGAGCGGACGAACUGGUCGGGGGCAUCUUGGCCAGGCGCGGACGACGACGGCUCCGGCAGGUCACGGAUCACAGGGUUGGGUUGUGGCUCUGGAAGAGGUGGUGGAGGGGGCGGGGGCGGGGGCGGUGGCGGCGGAGGCGGCGGCGGCGGUGGCGGCGGAGGCGGUGAGGGCGGAGGCGGUGAGGGCGGUGGAGGGGGAGGGUGAGGCGGCGGGUAGGGCGGGGGUGGAGGGGGUGGAGACCUCAUCCAAGCUCAGUUUCACUCCUCAUAACUUUCCGUAAGUGGUUCAGUAUUGCUGCUAUUUGUACUGCAUUCUGCACAACCUCAAGAGUUGGUCCAUAUGUUUCUAUAUACACAGUAGCCAAACCAAGAAUUACAAAGAAGAAUCAUACCAAAUCUACGUAACCAAACAAAAUGAAGCUAAACAUUCAGACAUGUAUAACAAAACAGGCUAACUGUUUCCGUGCUUGGCAAAGCUAGAGCAAAUUAGUGAGGAGUACACAUGCCUUUUGGGUACAUAUAUGGUGAAAUUUUAGUGAAAACCACGGUUUUCACUAUUUUUGGGGGGUGCAACACUCUAGCUUCGCCCCUGAGUAUGAGACAGAACACUUCAGUUAGCAGUUUCAGAACAAACCAAACCAUUUUGAUUCUUCCUGCUUUUCCUCUGAUGUUUCAUAGUAUGUUGACUCCUCUCGGUUUGUAUAAAUUUCUGUGUAUUCUGAACCAUAUUCUGAGGCAUAUGAAGAUGAUUCAUACUCAGGUUGGAUAGACAGAAACAUAUAUUUCAGGCCGCUUAUGAUAUCAUAAAUCAUCAAUCCAAUUCUUCCUCCACCCCAGCUCCCUAUUUGGCUUCCUGCAAGAUAUCCGAGCUUCCCAAACCGCUCCUCACCAUGGAAACCACCCACAUAAGUUCCAAACAAGGUGCCAGUGCCCCGGAGAAAACCUUCUGUCAUGCUUCCGCCAAAGUACAUUGCUUCGAAGAAGUCCCAACCACAAGAAAUUAUUGGCCCCAAUAUCCUAUUGGCUUGACGAGCAGCAACUUUUGUUGCUUUUGCACUAACCUUCUGAGCUUGUUUGGCUGCUUCACCAGGUGUUAGGCCUUGUGUCACAGCAUCGGCUAAAGCUUUCUCCAUGGCUCGCUGCCGCACCAUUUCCAAGUGUGCACUUCGGAUGUUGUUGACGUACAACUUGACACCCUCCUUUGCUGUGCAUGCAAGGCUGCCAGAGCCCAUGUCAAAGCAGUUCAUGAAUGUGAAUUGACCACUCUUUGAUGCAGCCUCCUUUCCAACAAGUUCCCUGAACUUCUCAGCUGUAAAGUAGAGCAAAUGGGGGUCAUUCCAAGGAUAUAAUAAGGUUUGCUUUAAUCUGAAACCAUGAAUAUCUAGAAUCAGUUAAUUGGGAGAUUGAAAAAGGAACCAGUAUCAAUGCAAUAAUGGCUUUCAAUAUUGAAUUAUCAAUCUGUCAUUCAACUGUGGCCAUGAAAACAUGGAACUGUGGCUACUAAGCAAGAGUUACCUUUAAAUAGGGUACCCCUUUAGACCUGCUCGGUCAGUAGUAUGACGAAAUUUGAAAUCGCAUAAAGCAAAUUGGUAAACUUGUGCAAUUAACCAUUCGUUAUAUCCAACAGAAUUUACUAUCUAGUGAAUUAUCAGUCAUUACUGACCCAGUUGAAACACAAUGCAUUGUCACUCACUCCUAGUUCUUCAGUGAAGUGUACCUAUGCUACCACCAAUACUAAAAGACUUCUGGUUGUGUUGUUUGGCAUAUGCAUACAAAAUGUCUGCUUGUGAAUCCAUUACUUAAGGCUACUCAGUAAACCGCACAAUGUUAAGUAAGAAGAUAUCAGGAAAACUUGUAAAAACUGAAAGGUCACUGGUUUUCUACAGAACUUAUAAGCUACCUAGUUAUUUCUGUUCACUAUGGAAACCCUAUUUGAACAGGUGGCAAUUGGCUCUAGUCCUGUAGGAUAUGGAACUCAGAAGCUCUAACUUCUCUGAAUCAAAAGCAGAGCUAGUGGGGUGUUUCAUACUUUUGCCUAUAGCUACAGCCUACAACUUUUGCACUUCCAUAGUUUUGUUGUUUUCUGAUUUUAUUUUAAUCCUUGUAAUAGAGUAUUAGACAUAUAAAAAUUAUAUCAUCUGUUGCUAUAAACUUAUAGAGAUGUUAUGUCUCAGAUUUGCUGUAGUCGUGAGGUCUCAAAUCCAUCUAUUAAAUUUUCCAUUUGGAGCAACUGAAGUCAGCAAUGAAAUGUUCCUCUGAACUUUUGUUGUGGCUGGAAAUAACUUCAUCUAAUCUCUAGAGAAGCCCAAAACCUGAGCAUGACUAUUUUCCCAAGUGGUUUUUAGCCUAUGACAAAAGAAUUUGAUGCACAGGAUGGAACAUCACUAUAGUAAAUCCUGUAACUUGCAUAUAUCAUCAUACUGAGGCAUUUUGAGUAAUUGCUUGUAUUGCUACUUGCCUACUUCCUAGAUGCUCAUUCGUGGAUGUGGUGACUAAUUGCUUCUGUUGCUAGGCUGAUAUCUUGUGUUUGCCAUCCUAUUAGCACACACUACCCAAUGCAAACAAAUAUUCAAACCCACACCCAACUGCUAGCAUUUGUAGUUAGCUUCCGAAUUGAUGUAUUUCUGUUGAAUUGCAGCAAAAUGCAUUCUGAGCGAACAUGAUCAGAUCAUUCUGACCAAUUUAUGGCUUUCUGAAUAACUCUACACAGAAUUUCUUUGCAAGAUCCCAACCCCACAAUCACAACCUCACAAGAAUGGCAGCGAAAAACUUAGCAAAAGGGAAUUUAAAUUCCACCAUCCACAUCAAUCUAAACCAGACAAAUUCUGGCAGAAGAAAUUAUCCCUAGGAACCAAUUACCGACUGACUAGCCUAAAUGCAUCACUUCCCACAACAAAAAUCAAGCAAAUUCGCGUUUCUGCAUAAAAGAACAACCACUCCCCCAGCAAUUGGAGUAUUAGACGAAGAUCGAAGAAAACAGUGCCCACCAGAUCUCCAUCAGAAACUAACGCGUGAAAUUGCACAGGAAGGAAAAGAUUCUGAUUCGCGACCGGAAAACUAACCGGUCAUGCUGAGCGCAACGACGCCCGUGAUGAGGAGCAGCAGCCGCACGCGCCGCUUCUGUAUGUCCAACAUCUUCGCCCGCCACCGUCGGAAUCGAGCGCCGCGAGGAUCUAACCCUGCCUACGGACCAACCUCCCGCUCCCUCGCGUCCACCGAGGAACAGGGAAGGGAGACCGGAAGCGAGGGAGGAAGAAAAGAGGAAUGGUCGCAGCGUUCUCUUCGCGACCGCCGCGUGUUAGAGCGUGGGCGUGACCCCUGAUCCGCGUUGCCUUCCUAAGCACGGCGUUCUUGUAAUGCUAGCUGACAGGUGGGGACAUGAUUGCAGUGAGCCCAAUGAUCAGUGGGAUUAUUGCGGCGUGUGUUUCAGCUGCAAAUCCACCGAUUCACUCGAUCAUAAUGUUUGUUCAGAUGAAAAUUAAUGCUGUUGAUUGAAAAGCCUUAGAGGACUGGAACGUAAAGUGAGGAUAUCUAGAAGGGCUCGGCAGCAAUUUUGCCUGUGGUCAUCGCCUCAUUGGUCAAACCUUGAGAGCCCCGGUUCAGAAAUCGCAGUCCCGCACGGCGGCGAUGGACGGCGGCGGGGUCGACACGGGCACGACGGCGGCGUGGAUGGAGAAGCACCGGCAGAUGUACGAGCGGGCCACCCGGCACCCGUUCACCGUCUCCAUCCGCGACGGUACCGUCGACAUGUCUGCCUUCAAGCGCUGGCUGGUCAGUCUCGGUCCCUCUAUUCCCCCAUCAACUGAUGCAGUGAAGUUCUCGUUGUGUAACGCCUUUGACCGCGAGAAAAUUGACGUUUCCGUGCCUGAUUCUUGGUUCGGGGCAUCGAGCUCUGUACAUCAAGUUAAAUACAACCAGGAAGUGUUGGAGUUGCUACUAAGAUAACGAAAAUUUGUGUGGACGGCUAUAGAAUAGUACUGUGUGUGAGUGAAGAUCUUGUGUUUCCAAUGGACAAGUCACUCUGAAUGUCGUCAUUCUGCUGUUUCUUCCGGUUGACAAAAAUAACGCCAGAAUAGAAUUGACACUGUCCAAUUGUGAUAGUGUAAAGUGAUGAAGGAUCAUGUUCAGGGAAGCAAAAUAGAACUCAACUCCUAGUUGGGCAUAAUAUUCUGCAAGAGAAUAAAUGAAACUAAUAAAAAAAGUUACUUUAUAUGAUCUUGGUUUUUUCUUCUAGUUGGAAGCAGUUUGGUGGUUGAUAAUUAUAAGUUAAAUUACGAUAUCUCAUAGUGCAGCAGUAGGUGAGCUUACAGUUGUCUAGAUAGUGAUCAAUUUGUGUUGGUUAAUUUUCUUUCUGUGAUUUUCUUAAAGAAAUUUCAUUUUGGUUAUGAGUAUUAUGAGUGGAGAAAAGUAUAAAUAGACUCGUUUCUUUGUCAUAUUCAGAGCCAGGACUAUCUGUUUGUAAGGGAAUUUGUUGCAUUUAUAGCAAGUGUGUUGCUUAAAUGCUGCAAGCAAGAAGACAGCUCGGACAUGGAAAUUAUCCUGGGUGGAGUAGCUUCUAUCAGCGAUGAGAUCUCUUGGUUCAAGAAUGAAGCUACCAGAUGGGGUGUCAAUCUAGCAAGUGUUUCUCCCUUAAAAGCCAAUUUAGAGUACCACAGGUUCAUCUCGUUCAAACAUUUGUAAAAUUCCCUCACAAUAGCAUGACUCGAGAUCUAUAACCGGCAUUAACCUUGUUGCCAGGUUUCUCCAGAGCUUUACUGAGCCAGAGGUUAGCUAUGUUGUUGCUGUAACAACCUUCUGGAUAAUUGAAACCGUGUACCAGGACAGCUUCGGUUUCUGUAUACAAGAUGGUAAUAGGACGCCACCGGAGCUCUUAGGCACCUGCCAGAGAUGGGGCAGCGCUGGGUUCAGACAGUACUGCCAGUCUCUGCAGAGCAUCGUGGAUCGCUGCUUGGCUAAUGCGCCAGCUGAUGCUGUCAAGAGUGCUGAAGAGGCCUUCAUCCGGGUACUCGAGCUGGAAAUUGGUUUCUGGGAAAUGAGCUCUUCUCAGUCCUAAUUAGCAGCCUAUUCUCUAAGUCCAAACAUCUAUACAAAUAAUCGAACGAAAAAAAUGGUGCUUCGGGCUCAGACCCAGGAAUGAGUUAUAACCCCCCCCCCCCCCCCUCCUCAUUUUCUCUGUCUUUGGUUUCACCUUAGUCCUGUAUCUUUGGUUCAUACACAAAGAACUGAUAUGAUGCUGCCAUGACCAUGUGAAACCAAAUCAGAAUUGCUAUAUCAUGCUCAGGUGAAAAAGUCCCUCUUACACUCAAUUUUUGUGAGCUUUAUAAGCAACUUUCCUUUGUUUUACAGAAAUUCUACACCUAGAUCAAAUGUGCUGUAAGAAUUGGGUAGAAUAUUCCUUCCCUACACUCAAAAUUUUAGUUACACCAAUUCUUUACUUUGAAAAUUAUACCAAAGUAGUCAUCACCUUAUUAGUUCUAGCAAAAGUAAAGUCGAGUGUGAAUUGGGGUGUGGGAGAGAAGAUUUUCACCUGAACUGAAUUCCCUUUCAUGCAUAAUUGCAAGUAGUCACCUUAUUAGUUCUAGCAAAAGUAAAGUCGAGUGUGAAUUGGAGUGUCAAUUGGGCGGGAUAUAAGUAAACAAUCCCGUCCCAAAUACUUUGUCUCGGUCUCAAAUUUCUUAGUGCUACUUCUGACAUGCAGUAUCAUUGAGACAUGUAUUGGACUAGCACAUAGUGUAAUCAAGUACCAGAAGCACACCAGCAAAUAUAUUUCUAAGGAUUACAUCCUACUUGGAAUUACAUUAGGAGUUCCUAAAUGUUUCUUAUAAAUAACAAACCUCGCUUUAUUCCACACCAAGCCAAAGACUAAAAAAACGAAGAAACCAAACUCAAGCACCAAAGGUGACGAAGGGGCAGAACCAUCAUCCAUUGCAUGCCUGCAAAUUGCCAUCAUGCCAAGCUAGCUAGAUCAAGCGACAGCGAUGGCGGAAGCCGGAGGCCAGCCUCGCGCGUUUCAGUCCUCGUACGUGCGGCACUCGUCGGUCUCGGGGUUGUCCUUGCAGUACUCCUCGAGCGGGUCGACGCCCUUCUGCCGGUCGCGCGCGUGGCUGGCGGCCGCGCUGAGCUCCUCCACCUCGUCCCACGCCGCCACGCACUCGGCGCUCACCGGGUCAUCCGCGCACGUCUCCUUGGCCUGCUUGAUGCUCUCGGACACCUUGUUGGCAAGAUCCGGCGGCGUGGCCGGCGAGCUGGCCGCCACGGCCACCAACCGGCGGUGCGCCCGCGCCGGCCCGACGAAGAACGACACGACGUUCUGGCGGGACGGCAGCUGGGCCGGGCGCUGAAGGAGGCUUCUUGGAGCCGAGAAAACGGCUAGGGCGGCCACGGCGGAGACCGAGGUGGCCAUGGCUUGACGAGUGGGAGAAGCGAUGGAGAGAAGAGAAAAAUGUUUUGGUUGCGUUGGGCUGGUGAUCCGUUUUAUGAGGUUUCCCCUCUUAUCCUUUUCCUGCCAAUCGUGUGGUGACAGAUCAGCCACGGCAGAUUUUCAUUCUAGAAAGCUCGUUCCCUUUACUAAACUUUUUGUUAUUUCCAUGGCUAAUUGAGCUGCGCUAUUCAACUCAAAGCAUUAAUUGUGUUGUUAACAAGUCAAUUUAAGUAAUAGUGUCCUAGCUAUUCUAAGUUUCUAACCUCUGUUAUUGUUUGGUGGGCAACUUUUACACUAGUAAUAAGUAUUUGUUCCGUUCAAAAAUGACAAAUGCAUUUGACCAUUGGGAAAAUCAAUAAAAUAAAUUCUAACCAUUAAUUUCUCUUAUCAUAUACAGUUAAUUGUUAAAAAACAAUGUCAUUUUAGCGGCACUUCAAACACAAAAAAUAUUGAUGUAAGUUUUAUUAUGUCCUAAACUUGCAUAUAAUUUGAUUAACUGUUGAUUAAAAUUUGUCUAAUUUAACUUUUCUGAUGGAGAGAGUAGAAUGAUUGUAAGCAACACUCAUGGCAGCUAGAUUUUGAGUCUAAAGCAACGUUUUGUGAUUUGAUACUUUGAAAUAAGUUAGAGCUAGAUUUGCCAUAUUUGUUUUGAUCCUGUGUUUGGAUGGAACCAAUUAUAUUUUGGACAUUUUAACAAUGGGAAAUAAAAUAAGAUCUUUAAAAAUAAUCUAGGACAAAGGACUGAAGGCCAUGUUUUUUGACCGAAACUGAAGGUCAUGUUGCCAUGGAUCUUUAUGUGCAGAUCCGUCUCUAGCCUCUUGUCAUUGUUCACCACUACUAUUACAUACAGUACUAUUCUAGAAAUGAUUUUUUGAGGUUUUAUGAUUUUUCCCCAAAGAGGUUGUCAUUUCGGGCGAGAGAUUUUUCAGAGAAGUACCAUCGCUAAAAUAUCAUUUUUAGGACUAUUGGUAUUCCCUUCAGGAAUAGUCUAAAUUACCUUAAUUAAACAUGAUUAUCAUCCUCUAAACAACCUAGUUUAAAGCAGAAUAAUCCCGAUAUAGUCUCCUAUAUGCGUCUCAUGCAGCCAAGGAACAACGCACACAUUGCUUUCACAAUUAAGUAAUCAUCACAUAGAUACAUAGAGAGCAAUUUUUUUUUUCAUGUUUACAAGUCAACAUAGAACGAAAGAUGUCCAUGAAUGAUACAACAGAUGAAACUAUCCUUGACUAGCUCAGGCGAGUUAAGUCAUUUGAGACCCUCGCUCGCCAUGACUCUAAAAUGAAAGUAUAUGGAAAUAAUGAAAGUAUGAUCAUAAACUCCAACCAUCAAAAUGUAUAUGAAAGUGCGAUCAUAUCAUCACCUAGUAAUAGGGUUUAAUUCUAAUCAAUGAAGUUUUGGUGAACUGUUAACUGCAGUUUCUUUCCUUAUCGUUUUUGGUUGAAUGAAAGUUUGGAACAACUAGGAGUACUUGCACCGCAUAUUUCUGCGGGACUGCAGAGUAUAGAGUACGUGUACGGCUUCCUUUCAGUUUCAGUCCACCCUGAUUGGCGGUUAGCGCAGUAGUUUUCUUUAAGUGAACAUCAUUUUCAUCGUACGUGGUCCAUGGGCAACUGACCAGUUGUACGAUAGCUCCGUGGCGUGCCAGGGGAAAGAACCAACGAAACCGACAAACCGUGGCCAAACAAAGUCACCAGCAAACGUGUCUCUUUUCUCCAACUGGAACUCGGCCAGAGUAAGUCGACGUCGAUUUGAAAUGCCUCCUUUCGAGAGGAUGAUCGCCGUCAUGUACGUAGACGCUAAAAGCCACCGUAAAUCAUCGUCAUCGACGGAAUCUGGUGACUAGUAUAGCAGCUGGCUGCUGACGGGUGGCCGGUCAGUUUCCGUGAGCUCGGUCUAGCUUUCAUGCAUGGCCGCGAUGGAGCGACGACGGUCGAUCGACGGCAUGCAAGCGAAGUACGGCUGCCAUCAGUGCUCCCUGACGAACGAAGAAAAAAAAAAUAAUGUGGGUCCGCCUCGACGUCUAGUCAUAUGUCGAGCUCGAGAGUGUCUCGUAGUUAAUUAAUCGUCCAGUUUUUAACGCCUCGUCACCGCCGUAGGGUGAAAGUAAGGUUUGUCCGGGCACAGCUCAACUUCAUUAGUAAAGCUGUUUUUUUAGAAAAUAGCUUCAUGAGUGACUUUCUAGAUGAAGCUGAGCUGUUUUGGAAAAAGUGUUUGGCAAAAUAGCUUCACCAACUACUUCAUGCAUAGUUGAGAGAGAAAAAUGAGAGAGAAGCUGCAAUAAGCUAUUUUUUUCCAGCUUCAUCCAACUUAUAUCUUUAUGAGAGGAGGAAAAAAAACAGCUUCACCCAUGAAACUGUUUUGGAAAUAAGUGUUUGACAAAAAAAACAGCUCACAUAGCAAACAGCCGCUAAAAGGAAUUAUCGGUUGCAUCACCGUGUGUGCCGGGGUGUGGCAGCGACGCAGCGUUUUAUGAAUUUUGCAAAAAAAAAAAAGACGACUGUGCAACGUCGGUCUCGGUCAAGCUACGUUCAGGCUGAAUGAAACCGGACAAAAAUAAAAACUAAUUACACAGUUUGGUCGAAAUUGACGAGACGAAUCUUUUAAACCUAGUUAGUCUAUGAUUGGACAAUAUUUGUCAAAUACAAACGAAAAAGCUACAGUGUCGAUUUUGCAAAAUAUUUUGGAACUAAACAAGACCAACAAAGGUCGCAGUGGAGUGGAUGCGGUACAAAUAUCGUUCCUGCGGGUACAAUUGCAAACCAGGAUUAUUUUCUCGAGAAACUAGAAAACUACGCAUCCUUUGCAUAUAUAUAUAUAUAUAUAUAUAUAUAUAUAUAUAUAUAUAUAUAUAUAUAUAUUUAUACUAUAUAGGAAGGAUCCAAAUUUGCAAAAAGUUGAAUUAGUCGCGCAGACUUGAGUGACAACCAGCAUAAAAAAAAACCACAACUCAACAACCUGCACCAGGGAAGUGCGAGCACUAAACGGACUAGUCAGGCCCGAAACAACCGGUAUGAGCUGUGCUGUCCGUGGGCUCUUUUCAUAGACCACAAAUGCCAAGCCACAGAUGUUCUGCUAGCUUUUACUACUGAUCACGGUUAAUCUCAAAAUUGUGGGUAAGAAUCCGUGGAUAAUAACAUAGAUACAUGUCCACCCCACAGAUAUAGGAGCUCCCGUCCUCAAAAAAUUAGACCUUCUUUGAUUCACCCCUUUAAACUUUAGACCUCUAAACUUUAAAGCUAAAGCUUGUGGUCUAAAAAUAACUCUAAACUUUAUCCCACCUUAUAUUAGAGCUAUAGGCGGAGCUAGUUAGGUGGACAGGUGGUCUUUGAACCACACUUAGUUCAAUGUUAAACUAUAGUAGAUGAGUUCUCUAAAAUUAUAAAAAAUACAUAUAGAUCACUCUAUAGUUUGGUUCUAUAUCUAAAAUGGACCACUUUUGCUCUAGAUCUUAGCUACGUCACUUAUUAGAGCUUUAGACCUCAAAAGUGCUCUAAAGUUUUUAGAGCUCUAAACUUUAGAGGUAGGGAUCCAAACACACCCUUAACUUCUUGAGUAAUUGUAUAAGUCAAAUUUUAAAAAUGAUUAAAUUUAUAAAAUAUUUAUGACUUCAAAUUAAUAUCUAUAUAUCAUAGAAUAUUAUUUUCUACUCUUUUCAAGUUAAUCACACUUAGAGCAACUCCAAGAGCUUGGCUAUUCUUGUUGUGGAGGCUUUUUUUGAAUUUACAUAGCAAAAGGUAGGCUCCAACAAAGAUGUGUUAUCUGAUUUUGUAGAAUAGAAAGUUGACUAUCCCUUAAUUUUUUAUGGCUAUAUAUAGCCAACUAUACUGAGACUUGCUAUCUGAUUUUGUAAAAUAGCAAAGUGAUUGUGGACUUCUUCUUUUUUAAUAAGCCUUUUAUUUUAUAAAAUCGCUAAACAAUAGAAUUUGACUACUUUUUAGCAAGCUCUUGAAGUUGCUCUUAAGAUAGUUUUACUCGAUGGUUCUAAAAGUUGGUUUAUUUAUUCCAAGACAAAGCUAAUACAGUAUAUACUUCACUCUCGAGCUUUCUGCAUGCACAUUCUUUACCGGCGACAUUAACACAUCACACUUAAGUAGGUUCUAUGUUGUUCACAUGACAAGCAUACAUGAUACCUGAUACAGCAGUACAACACAGGGUACAUACGGCAAACAAAGCAUAACAGCACACUGCACACCAACGACAUAUAUAACAGACUUCACAAGAUAACAAUAUCUAGUUGAUGGACUCAGAGCCUCAGACCUCAGAACUCGAGCAUACCAACGGCGUCCAUGACGUCGGGCUGGAGCAGCAUCAGCUGGAUCUCGAGCGGCAACUGCAGUUGCAGUGGCGGUGGCGGCGGCGACGGCGAGAGCGGCGUGACUGACGGCGAGAGCGGGGUGACUGGCAUCUGCACGCCGCCGUAGAGCUGCACGAGGUGGUCGGGCACGCCCGGCACGUCGAGGGGUACGCCGGCCACGUCGCCGAGCAGGCGGAGCUGGGAGUUCCGCAGUAGGAGCGCGGCGCACAGCUGGCGCGCGUGCGCGGCGAGCACCCGGUUCUCCUGCUCCAGCGCGCGGCUCUGCGUCAGGACGUCGCCGACGCUGGCGCGCAUCGCCUCGUUCUCGCGCCGCAGGCGCUCGUUCUCCGCGGUCAGGUCGUCGACGUGCUGCUGCCGCUUCAUGCGGGACUUGCGCGCCGACAGCCGGUUAGAGGUCAUGCGGUUGCGCCGCCGCUCCUCAUCCGUGGUCACCGCGGCGCCGCGCGCUCCCUGGCCGCCCGCCGGUGGAACCAUCCUAGCUACUACUUUCAGAAGGGAAGCACGUACUUAACUGCUUCAAACACUGCCAAAAAGCGCGCACUGCUCCUAGUCGAAUGAUCGAUCUGAGUGUAGGAGUACGCGCGCGCUAGGAGAGGCACGGAACUUAGCAGCAAAGCAAGAGAGGCCCGGGAGAUGAACGUGAACGGGUCAUCAUGGAAGAACGAAGAGGAACAAGCAUGGAGGAGUAAUCAAUAGUAGUAAUUUUUUGUUUGGAACGAACAAAGCUUCGGCUCUGAAUCAAACCAAAGCUUAGCUUUGUUCGAUCGGAACUUGGCGAGAGGCGGCCGAUUCAGGAGAUGACGUAGAAGAAGUAGAGAAGCACGAUGGAGAGGGAGUGGAGGUAGCAGAAGUGGAGGCUGACCUCCGUGAGCGACAUGGCACGGAGAUUGGCGGAUGAACACGAAACAAGCAGGAAGGAACUUAGCUAGCUAGCUAGCUGAAGUGAGGCAUCCGGAGGAGAGGAGGAGGAGGAGGAGGAGGAGGCAUGGGGCUGCACUUCCCAAACAACCAAAGAGCUGUGUGCUCUGCAGUGCCUCUACUCAACUAGGGACGAGAGGAAGAAGAUUUGUGAAGGCAGAAGGGGUGGCCUGAGGGUGGCGGAGGGCGAAGAUUUAAGGACCGGAGGGAGGGAACUGACGACGUAUUAUAUGCACUAACUAAUACAGUAAUAUUAGUCAGCUCGUGCAAUUGCGUGUGCACCAACUAGCCUGAUUAAACAAGGGACCUGAUCUUUUGUUCGUAUUGCGUAUUGCCAACGAUCGUAAGCAUCUCCAUUGGGGUCAGGUGAAAUGUUUUAGGUUUGUAUAUUGUUUUAACCGUACAGCUGGACAGCUGGUCUGCUACGGGGGAAGUGAAAUUUCCAAAGAUGCCAAAGAACUAUGCCUGAAACUUCCCAAGCACACCAAUACAAAAACUGGCGGGUUUCUAUUCUAUCAAUAUUGUCACUCAUGACGCAAGCAUAUUUGAGAUAUUUAACUUGGGAUCAAAAGAUCUGAUGAAGUUUUCCAACCCUAGGUAAUACUAUACACAACUUAACCAUCGGAGGGAAAUUAAACAACUCCAUGCAAUGGCAGCAGAUAGAAGCAUCAAUGCAAGCAUCACGGGGGACAUUGAUUCUUUACAGUUGCUGAGGUGUUCUUUAAUUUUGCUCCUUUUGUCUUGACUUGUAGACGGCUUGCUGCGUCACAACAAAUGCACGUUGCAGUCCUUCAAAGCGCCCGAGUGGCCAACGGUAAUUGAAUGAAGAACAAGGAAACACACGAGGCUUCCAUCGAUGAUGACUUGGCGCCUAGUCCGCCGACCAGAAGCACAGAUUGGCCGCUUUACCUUCUGGCUUCUGCGAAGCAGCAUAGAGCAAACAUCAGACAAACAAGAACAAAUUACACUAAUUAACAAGCGGCUGAUACUGUGGUACCUGAACCAUGAAUUGUGAAAUUUUGACUAAGUUUCAGGUCGACGUACAUGCCCGGGGAUCGGGGACAAGUGGCCACUGCAUUUUUCUCGGCAAAUUAAUGAUCUACCCAACCCACAGUACAAAUAUUCUACUGUGAUUAGAUUCAGAUGCCCUGGUUGCUUCUCUUGGAGCAUGGCGUCACGUCUGAUGAGAUAACAUUAAAAACUGACCACGACGCGUAUAGCCAAUAAUUUUAGGCCUCGUUUAGUUCCGAAAAGAUUUCGGAUUUCGGUACUGUAGCACUUUAAUAUUAUUCAAUUAUGGACUAACUAAGAUCAAAAGAUUCGUCUCGCGAUUUCUAGCUAAACUGUGUAAUUAGUUUUUGCUUUCGUCUAUAUUUAAUGGUUCAUGCAUGUGCCGCAAGAUUCGAUGUGACGGAGAAUCUUGAAAACUUUUUGCUUUUUGGGGUGAACUAAACAAGGCCUUACCUGCAGGGAAAUGCUAGAAACAGUAUGUGUCAUUUUCAAUUAGGUCUUGUUUAGUUCACCUGAAAACCAAAAAGUUUUCAAGAUUCCCCGUCACAUCGAAUCUUGUGGCACAUGCAUGAAGUAUUAAAUAUAGACGAAAACAAAAACUAAUUACACAGUUUUCCUGUAAAUCACAAGAUGAAUCUUUUGAUCCUAAUUAGUCUAUGAUUGGACAAUAUUUGUCACAAACAAACGAAAGUGCUACAGUAGCAAAAUAAAAAAAAUUGGCAUCUAAACAGAGCCUUAGUACUAUGUGCGUAUUGUACCGUGGCAGCUGGCAGGGCUGUAAGUUGCAUUGCUUAUGUGUUAAGGAAUAUUAAAGAGCAUCGGUGAAAAUUUUUCAGGGUAAUAAGGAGCAUCAGUGAUAGUGUGCCCGCUAGUAUUAGAACACGCAUGCGGUACCUGGUAUUACUUUCGUGCGUGAGCGCGCAAAGUGCUUUGUUAUUCAAUCAUAUUGUGGCACAGUGUGUUUGCAUCUAAUCGUAUAGCUUUUUGCUGAUGCUAGUGCUGGCUAUCAAAAUACUCGUAUGAGCUACGCAUAACCGGCGGGGUUAAAAAAGAUGAGCUACGCAAACCUUUCCAAAGUUCAAUACAUGCAUGCAAAGGAUCAAUGCUGGAGCAAAAUAAUUAAUCUGUAAGGGCACUCACAAUGCAAGACUCUAUCACAGAGUCCAAUACAAUUAAUUACAUAUUAUUUAUGGUAUUUUGCUGAUGUGGCAGCAUAUUUAUUGAAUGAAGAGGUAGAAAAAAUAAGACUCCAAAUCCACAUUGUUCGAGGUAAUAAAUAACUUUAGACUCUAUGAUAGAGUCUGUAUUGUGAGACUCUAUCAUAGAGUCUAAAUCUAUUUAUUACCUCGAACAAUGUGGACUUGGAGUCUAAAUAAGACUUGGAGUCUUAUUUUUUCUACCUCUUUCUUCAAUAAAUAUGCUGCCACAUCAGCAAAAUACCAUAAAUAAUAUGUAAUUAAGUGUCUUGGACUCUGUGAUAGAGUCUUGCAUUGUGAGUGCCCUAAUGUUUACUAUGAUCCCACCGAACUCUCUGGUCGCUGUGCCUGUAAACAAUUGAGCUUUCUUGGUGCUAGCUGACUUUGAAAAUUUACGGAGGCAGGCUAUCCUACUGGACUUUUCAGUUUCCGUGCAGUUUAUUGGUUCCAUGAAAGCAGAGCUGAUUUGGUCCACUUUGAGCAAUGCUACUUUCGUUCUACCAAUGCUUGUCAUUGUCAUGACGUAUUGUAGAUGUAUUGUGCAUGAGAAAGUUGACUUAUUAUUACCGCUAAUAUGUUUGAUGAAAGUUACCCAUAUGCAUUUCCUUUUGUUUCAGUAAAGUUAAGUCAAUUACUUCACAUCAGAGUAGAACAUUAGGAGUUAGGAGUGACAUGAAUGCAACGUGUGAGCAGUGACUAGUGACCAAAAUUAGGAGUUGGUGUGAAGCUAACCCAUUUGUAGUUUCUGUGGAACGGGAAGGUCCUGGCGUCCUGCUCAGUGUCGUCAUAGUAAGAGCAAUAGAAGGUGCGUGAGCUUUCUAAUGUUGCUCGCCACAAAAUCUACAAGUUCAGAUCAACUUGCUGCUCCCUGGCGGCCCGGCUCUAGCCCCUCUGCAUGCGGGCCCAUGCAGGCAGUGUCCUUAUUGCUUCAUGUUUUUCAGCUAGACAGUUGUAGCUUUACAAACUCUACUCUAAAAAAAAAUAGAGUUGUGAGAACACCUAAAAGAAGUGCUCUAAAAACUCUAGUUUUUUUUUUCUAUGAGGGCAUGUUUGGAACAAAGGAAUACAAAACAGAGAAAAGGAAAAAAGUAGAGGAAUAGGAUAGGAGUGUUGUGAGAAAACAGAGGAAUAGAAAAACGUAGAAAGAUAUAGAUAGAGAUGUUUGGAAUGCAGGAAUUUAUACGAUGUGAUUAAAAAGAAUAAAAAUUUAUUUUGUUAUUUGUAAUGAUUAUUAAUUAAAAGGAAAAAGAAUGGUAACUGACGCAUCAUUCUCGCAAACUUUCGAAGCAGUUCAACCGUCAAAGUCUGCACUUUCUCUCUCCGUGAGCGAGCGACGACGGCGAUUUGCCUUGGACUUCCGCGAAAACACGAGCUCGAACCGGAUGUUUUGUUUCCUGCGUUUCUACAAGCGAACCAAUCCUUUCCUCUGGAAUGGCAAUCUGCUUUCCUCCAUUCCAAACACAAGAUGAUGUCAGCAAACUAUAGGAAUCGAUUUCCUUUAAAAUUCCUGCAGAAAGCCUCCGUUCCAAACAGGGCCUGAAAUUGCUCUACAGUAAAGUUUGUGGAGCAGACAUAAACAGAUCCUAUGUACGCAGUCUCCCGCAGUCUCCUUUGCCCGAAUCAAAUAGGCCCCAAUGACUUGCGGUGCGGGCAGCGGCGAGCACCGGUGACCACCCUAUAGCUUGUUUGGUUUCCUUCUCUCAUACCACACCGCAUCUAGGUGCUAACUAUACAGUUGUUUGGUUGUAUGGUUCAGCGACACCAGGACACACAUAGUUGUUGCUUAGUUGCAGUAGUAAUGGUGCCAGAUGCAGGAUCGUGUCCCGCGCUAUAGUUCAGCGCCAGGACACACGAAGUUGUUUUAGUUGCAGUAGUAAUGGUGCCAGAUGCACGCCCGAGUUCCACGCGGACUAGACUAUGAAAAAUGAGUUUUUUCUUGACCUUUGUUACAAUUAAUUAAUUCUUUUUAUGAUGAACGGUCAAAAAAAAAAAAGACUCACUCGCUGGCUAACUGGAAAGUCCAUUUUAAGCAUGAGUUUGAAUUAAUUUGUAUCAAAGUCAAACCCAGUCGAGCAGACUCUUUUCUUUUAUGGCUCGAGAGUAUAUCCUAAUGUUGAUACUCUUUUCUUUUUUAGCUUUGUUAUCUCUUUUAGCUCCUUUAGCACAGCUCGUGCUAUUGCUCUUGUACUGGUUUUACUCUUUUGGUUGAAAUAAAAGAAAAAAGGAAAAAGAAAGGUGAGGGGCUUUUACCCCACCGUUUCCUCAAAAAAAAAAAAAAGACUCGGUAGGUAGCAACUAGUAGAUCCUCCUAAACAACAUAAAACAUCUCUUAACUUGGUACUCCUUUAAUUCUAAAUUAUAAGACAUUUUAUUUUUUAAUAUAUAAUUUUUACUAUAUAUCUUAGACACAAGUAGAACCAGGGCUGCAGCGAGUAAAGUCAACAGUGAAAUAAAUCUUUUUUUUUUGUGUCAUAGAAACCUUUUCUUUCUCUUGUUCUUACAUUUUUACUCUUUCUUUUUCUUCCUUGUACUCCCUCUUACUCUCUUGUUUGGAUCCUCUCCUUUGGAUCUUUUUUAAUAAACUAGUUGAGUACCCGUGCGUUGCUACGGGAAUCACUUACGGGUCAUCGCAUAUGCAUGUAUGAAUCAGUAUUUUAAUAAAAAAAGCUCAAUUCAACUUUGCCGUGGUUCCUCUUUUUACAACAUCAUAUAUGUGAUAGACAUAUAUUCAUUUAAACGAAGGAUAAGAUAUUAUUUGCUAAUGUAAAUAUACCAAAGAACUCAAAAGAGCAACAUAUUUCUACCAUGAGAACAACUUCUAUACUUCACUGUGCAAGUUCAACCUACAAGUCUCACAAAAAAAUGACAAAGCAGUAAAAUAAAAUUAAAAGGUGGAUCAUGUAGUUCACUCCCUGAUCAUUGAGUUGCAUUAAGUCACACAUCUGCAUUACAAAAGCUGAGUCAAUAAUUCCUCAACACAGUGAAUAUUCCAAGAACUUUAUAAAUGUAUAAUAUAGUGAAGACCACCACACUGGUUUGGACUCUACUAAUUCCCACUAUGGAUUUUGCCAUGAAUAAUGCCAAGUUUCAUUGCAAAAGUCAAGUACAUAAGUGCUCCAUAUAUUUUUUACAUGUAGAUAAUUCAUAGAUAGUUGAGAUACCUGAGGUUUGAAUCAGCUCCUUUGUUCCUUCUCCCAAUCAAGAGUUCAGAAAUGUAUCAGUUAUCACUACACCAAAGGGGGGAAUCUCUUAAUACAUGCAGUGACAAUACUAUGCUAGGCUUUUAGAUUGUUGGCCACUGACAAAGCAAAUGACUGAACCAAAGCAUGCCCUCAAAAUAAAAUUCCCUAAAGUUCCAUGAAAAUAUGAAGUAACUAAACCCUGAAUGUUUAUCUGAAUGUUUUAAAAAUGGAAAUAUGAAGUAACUAAACCCUGAAUGUUUAUCUGAAUGUUUCAAAAAUGGAAAUAUGAAGUAACUAAACUCUCAUGGGAUGGUACUGUCAGCUAAAUAUUUCCACGGAAGUUCAGUUUAGUCAUACUUUCUUUGCAUGUGUUCGUCAAGAGCAACCUUCCUUUGUUACUCGGCUAAUGUGGAUUCAGGGCCGGGGCAAACAGCAAGCCAAUGACCAGCCAAGUUACACCAAAUGUCCAGAUAGACAUACGCAAACACAGGAUACACCACCUUGAGCCACCAGAAUCUCAUAAAUAUAUCAAGAGAAAAUAUUUAUGGCUGCAAAGACGCAUACGAACAGCAGGUGCCAGUGAAGGCAAUGGAAAUCGAUAGAUUGAUUAGGAGGCCAAUAGGCAGGGUACAUAUAUAGGCGAGGACCCUAGGCUGGUUUAUAGAAUCGUGACCACAUGACUACAGACUACCCCGCCUACUGUACCAAAACGUUGUAGCAAUCCAAAUAAGUAUAAGAAAGUUGAUUCCUGGAGGUACAAGACUACUAAACUUGGAAACAUUAGUCAUCAAGCCGAUGCAGAUGACCUGAUAAGGAUGCUCCAAGGAGGAUGACCACAUGACCAGAUGAGGAUGCUCCAAGAAGUAUGUAAACAUGGCAGACUACUCACUAUUUGGCCAAUAGAGGCUUAUUUCUCACUGGAAUUUAGUAGAGGCAGUUUAAUUUGAGAACAAUAACCAUCCAUAACCAUUGCAACCGUAGAUCAAAACAUAAAUAAGUUCCCAAAAAAUAUACAUUUGGAUUUACAUUUUCCAGUUUGAGUAAUUUUUUUCCUACCAUUAUAGCAGUAAACAAUAAAAAGAAGAAGAGUCAUCUAUGGAUGUUGUUAAACACGAGUGGCCCAAUAUAAAAGAUAAAUAGUGUUACCUAAAUAAUGAAUGCUCCGAGUGUCUUGGUCAUGAUAUCUUGGAGUUUGGAGCCAAGAGAGUUCAAUGCAAUGAUAUAGAGUAAGUGGCUGCAAAAUAGAUCCUCAGGCAAUAAGUAAAUACAAUGGAGUCAGCAGAGAAGGCAUAUGAAUUUUAGACUCCAGUAAGCAUACAACGAGUUAGCACAGUAAAGCUAGAGAUGCACCUGUACAGGAGCAAAGGCAGCUUUGCAAGUUCCUUUCAGCUUUUAUGUUGUUAAUAGCAGAAAGGACAAAAGGAAUUACAACAUUUGCUGAGACUAAAAAAAGAGAUAAACUAAAAGCAUGUCAUGGUUUGGUUUAUGAACAAUCAGACAGUGAGAUAAGAGCAUAAAGAAAAAAAAUGGUAUGCAAGUCCUAUAAAGUGAAGAUAACAACAAGCAUGUAGAUAUGAAUGAAGAUUAUUCAGAACAAUCCAGAUAGAGCCGCUAUGAAAUACAAAGAACUUAAAUUAUCAUCAAAAUUAAAUUAAAUUAGUAAAUCAGAGUGCUAAUAAAACUUCUUAAAACAUCUUUUUUUAGUAUGGACCAGACCUUAAUAUUGGAUUCCAGAAAGACCAAUCUUAGAACCCACUCCGGUGGGGAAUCAAACUAAUACACUCUUGAUUAGGUCUGGUCAACUCAGUUGUCAAUGUACAAAAAUAUGCUCAUUGGAGACUCAUUGCUACAGAUUUUGUCCAAAACACAUAACACAAUUCUUAAUAUAUAAUAGAGUAGCAAGGUAAGCUUACCAAAACUUUUUUACGCUCGGUAACUUAGUAGCAGUCAGAUCUGCAAAUAAAAAUAGCAGAACAUACACAAUCAGCUAAGGAAAUGUAGCUAGCUAUAUGUCAAACUCAUGUCUGAAUAGAAUGGGGGAAACUUUACUCAAUCAUAAAUUAGUGGCACCAUUAGUAAGAUUACCUAUGUCUGAUUGUCAACCCUAAUCCUCUGAUUCUAGCACCAGCUCAACGUUCAAUCGAUCGAUUCCACCAUGCAAUCGGACUAAUCAGGGGCAGCAUCCCCACACGCUGAAAGAAGGCAGGGCAGGGGCGUUGUUACCUAGCACAUUGAUAUGGUCGAGCCACUGGAGGAGGUGGUCCUGGACUCCUGGUGCAUGCGGCGGCCGGAGGGAGGUGCCUCGAGCGAGCGAGAAGGGCAGCGACGAUUCGAGACUUCGGGAUCUCCAAGCGCGGAGUGGUCACCGGUGGCACCCUCCAGGCGGUGCGGCGGCGUGAGGGCAUGGGUGAGCGCGGCGACGGAGCGGGCUGACCCGAGUGUCGGUGAGCGUGGCUUGCGUUCGGCGGCGACGGCGGCGCGCGCAGAGAGCGGGCAGCCCCGACCGCCUGGAGUGUGCCCGGUGGCAAGCCGGCGGCAAUGAGCGGGUGGCGUCAACCUGCGUGGGGGCUGCGUAGAAGAAGGGAGCUGCGGCGGUUGGUGGCGAGAUGGGCGAGAGGAAGGGCGCAGCAGGGGAGGCAGGCCGACGGCUCGGGUAUGACGAUACCACUUGGGUCUUUUUAGUUGUAGAGAUUCCGUAGGGGCGAAAGCCGCUGUUAAAAAAAGUGAAACAAAUCUGAACCUGUAAGUGGGCAAAUCGGACAGGCCAACACAUUAGGCUACCGUGGACAUCGUUUUUGUGCAUGUCGCAGUUUGUAGACUUAAAUCUAAGUGCAUAGUAAAAAUUAUAUACUUAAAAAAACUAAAAUAACUUACAAUUUGAAAUUAAAAAAGUACUUAAUUUAGACCUCAUUUUGAAUUUAGGUCAGGGCCACCACUGAUUUCUUCGCGCAUAGGAAACAACGAAUCUGAAUAUGUCUUGCGAAAACUUGAACUAGGGGGAAAGUAUGGAAGUGCUUUAUCUCUUGCUUCUCUCCCAAAACUCCUUUGCUUUGUUGGUUGUCCAAAGCAUGCUAAUUGCACGCUGCAGCUUUUCCUUGAGCAUUUCAAUCUUCCAACGAUCUGUCACAAAUUCAGAACAAGACACUGAAACUGAACAUCCUCAUCGAUCUUGACCUUUUGUCUUCGGAAUGGUGAGAAACACGAAAAGGCUAUAGCAAUGUAAAGCUAAAGCAAAAUACAAAAUCUUGAAUGCUAUACGGAGGUUGUUUUGUUAUGAGCAGAAAUAAUCUCCUCAAAGGCCCCCCUCCGAACGUGAAAAUUUUGCACAAAAAAGGGCUAAAUUGCCACGUUCUUCCAAAUGGACUCUAUGGAAUGAAAAAAAACUAGUACUGAUUUAAUGAAGGUAAUGUAAAAUGCAAUUCGCGGAAAAUUCAAAAUCAAAUCCUGCUGUGUGCUGUCCCACCAGAAAAGGUACACCCAGCAAUGGGUUUUACGAGGGUUUAUUAAGGCCCUGUUUAGAUUGGAGAUAAAAAUUUUUUGGAUGUCACAUUGCAUAUGUCGGAAGAAUGUCGGAAGAGGUUUUUAGAAACUAAUAAAAAAACAAAUUACAUAGCUCGUCAGGAAACUGCAAGACAAAUCUAUUAAGUAUAAUUAAUCUAUCAUUAGUAUAUGUGGGUUACUGUAGCACUUAAGGCUAAUCAUGGAGUAAUUAGACUUAAAAGAUUCGUCUCGCGAUUUUUAACCAAACUGUGUAAUUAGUUUAUUUUUUAUAUAUAUUUAAUGUUCCAUAUAUGUGUCCAAAGAUUCGAUGGGAUGGAUGAAAAAAUUUUAGGUGGGAAACUAAACAGGGCCUAACCCUCUUCUCCUUCAUUCUUUUCUCCCAAGCUAAACGCAUUAAACCUCCUGCAAGGCAAGGCUACAACUUUACGAGAAGGAGGGAGGAGGCACAAACCGAAGGUACAAAUCCCCGCGCCGGAAGGUUUCGCCUUCCUUGUCUUCUCAGCCCCAAGGCCCAAGCACGAGCACCCAAUGCUGCGCGCCGCGGCCGUCGCAGGGUUGCCGGCGCGGCUCGCCGCCAAGAGGCCACUGGCGCCGGUGACUGUGGCGGCGAGGGUUGCGCUUGCGAGUACCGAGGCGAGGUCGCCACUUCUCAGGGCACUGAGGCGCGGGGGAGUCCCGGUGCGUGGGAGGAGAGUGUGCAUAUGCUCCGCCGCCGGCGACGAUGAUAGCGGCUCGGAAGCAGCGUCCUCCGCGGCGGAGGGCGAAGAGGCUGGGUCUGGGGAGGAAGGCGAGGGGGAGAAUGCCUCUGCGAUCGUGCCCGCUGUCCUCCGCCCCGAGGAUUGCCACACGGUGCGCGUCCUCUUACAAUUGGAUCGCCAUUAAUAAGCUAUUCUCUGCGGUUUGCGUCAUCCGUUUUUUUUCGAAUUAUUUGCCAAAUUCUGCUAAGGCAGGCAGCUGUUUGAUAACUAUACCUGUGAUUUUUUAUAAAAAAAAUUCUUCUAAAGGUUUUGUUUUCGGAACUUAGCUCGGUUGGAUGAUUUUUCUUUUCGACCUUAUUAGAAACCGGAAACAUUGAAACUAUAUUGAAGUUUUGGUGAUAUUCUUUUUUGUACAAUGAUAUCAUAUAUGAUGCAGUGGGUAUUUUUGUUAUAUGACCACCGGUUGAGUUAUUUUUGUUAUUAUUAGCUAAAUUCACAUUGCUGUUUCCUUAGUGUGUCUGUUUUUUGUUAACUGAGAGUGGGUAUUCUUGUCUGGAGGGAGAAAAGGGAAUGGUGGUUAUGGGCAGUAAAAAUUGUUAUCAAGUGACUGCUCUGUGGCCAGUGCUCAGAACUUGUGAAUUAGAUAACAAAUUAUUUGAGGUUAUUGCUGACAAUAUACUCAAUGGAAAGGUUAAAACAGAGUGUCUACAACUUGCUGUUGUCUUGUAUGACCGAGAAAAUUAUUAGAUCAGGUUUCGCUAUAUGUGCCACUAGAAGAAAGACAUCUGGGGUUGUUCUUUUGUUCAGUAUAUAAUUUCUGGCUUGCUUUUAUCUGAUACUGCCCAGUAUUUCUUGAGUUAUCACAUAAGAAUAUUUUUUAGUAGAUAAUUUGUGGCCUGCCACCUGCUUUUAUCAGUAAAUGCCAGUACUAUGAGCUAUCAAGUUUGUUUCAUUGGCCUUUUCCAUAAGAACUUUUUAUUCUCUUUAUUGGUGGCUUUUGUUGGGUUUCAUCUCUAGCCUACCAGUUGAAUUAAAAAGUCUUUGUUUUUUUGUUAUUUAGUGUUCAAAAUUUAAUGAAAUGAAAUACUGGUACAUUUCAGCAAACAAGGAGCCGUUUUGUAUUACUGCUAUGAAUUCAGGUUCUCUUCUCAUUCCAUUCUUAUGGUGCUGCCAAAUAGGUCAUAGCUUUGCCUUUGCUACAGCGACCACUAUUUCCAGGAUUUUACAUGCCAGUCUAUGUAAAGGUAUCUUGCGAAUCAUUUUACAAGAUAUAAAUCAGUUCCUCACAUACCACUUCUUCUAUGUUCUAUGUUUUUGUGCCUUCGUACUGGUAAUAUAGCCCUUCAUUUCCCUCAGGACCCAAAGCUGUUGCAAGCUUUAGUUGAAAAUAGCAAAAGAUCUAUACCAUAUGCUGGGGCCUUUCUUGUCAAGGAUGAGGAAGAGACUGGCCCCUAUGCUGUGAUCAGUUCAGAAUCAGAUACCUUUUUUUUGAACGCAACUGGUUCAGAAUCAGGUAAUAGCAUUCAUGAAUUGAAAGGGAAGGAAUUGUUGAAGAAUCUUCAUGAUGUUGGCACUCUUGCCCAGGUACUUGGUAGUUUUGCAAAGCUUGUGGGUGACAUAUCUUUCUCUGAUGAUUUUGAAAUGUGCUUUAGAUAACAAGAAUUCAAGGAAAUCUGGUGGUGCUACUUGGUCACCAUCGUAUACGUACAUCUGAGAUUGUUAGUUAAACUCCUCGCUGCUUCCUAUUUAGUUUCUCUGACACUUCUUUUUUUGGUCAUUGUAUGUUAAUAAAAACUAAACUAUACAGGUUGUGGAUGAGCCACUUACGGUUAAGGUUGAUCAUCUGAAGGUACAUAUACCAUAACUAUUGUAGUGUCUCCAUCUUCAAACUUUAUCAAUGUACAGAUCUGCAAAGGCUUCAAACCCUGGAAACAGGGACGGAGUCAGAACAAACUAUAUAAAGGGGGGCAAUUAGUACCUUCUAUAUAACAGAGUGGAACAAAACGCCAAAUUUUAUAACAAAUUAAACUGUUUUAUGCAGCAUUUGGUGUGUGCAGACAUGGAGUACAUAGAGCAUAUGGGGGGCAGGGGUGCAGGGCUACCCCUCGUAACCCCCUGCCUCCAUCCUGCUUGGCAACUCUCAAAUAGGCUUGGACUAUGUGUUUAUUAGAGUUUUAUAAAAGAUAAUAUGAAAAUCAACACAGUCCAUAAAAAAAUAUCUUCGUGUUUUUUUCUUGAAGAGACAGAUAGAAACAAUAAAAGAAAUCUUGUUCCUAUCUAUCUAGAGAAAAAUGAGCUGUUUUCACUUGUGAUACAAGGUACAAGGUGGGCAUUUUCAACUAAAAUUUGGCUUCAGAUGGGUUUAUAAUUUACUGCAUUGUUAUGGAUGAGAUUCGUCUCACUAAAGUUUGCUCCCUGUUCCUGUGACUGCAUGCCUUACUAAGUUGAAAAUAUUCUUUGAAAUUUGUUAUUGGUGUGUGCCACUUUUUGGCACCAAUUGAAUAUGUACUCAGAUUUGAAAAGUAUUCAGUUCUUAUUACUUAGCGUCCAUUCUACAGGAACUACCUUAUGAUAAGGAUGAUGAUGUCAUAAAGGCGAUGUCUUUUGAAGUUAUAUCCACUUUAAGGGAUGUUCUCAGGGUAAACUCCCUUUGGAAGAAUCAAGUUCAAGCCUAUACCCAGGUUGCCUUGCUUGAUAAUCCUACCUUUAGUGUAAAUCAAAAUGAUUUUAGUUUUGUUUAUUUGUAUGUAAAUAUGCUAUUUCUGCACAGAACCUAAAGGGUUGUGUUUGUGCCAUGGUAUAACCCUGUGUUGUCACUCAUUUAUAGUAUGCGGCAGUGACAUUAUAUAAGUCUUAAUGUCUGUUUGACCUUUUGUUUUCAUUGUUUAGUUAAAUAUAAACAAGAUAUUAAUACUAGGCACUGUAGAUGCUCAUAGUCAUCAUUACCACAGUCCACAGAGUAUGUGGCUUCAAUAUAUUUAUAUAUUAUUAUUAUUAUGUUCAGUAUUUGUCAUCUAUGUGGUUACUGGUCAAUAAAUUAAACCAACACUGCUCCCCUUCCAUGACAUAUUUUCCUUGUGUGUAAUUUCCAGAUUGUACUUGCAUUUAAAUGUUAGGCUGAUUUCAUCAUUGUGAAUAUGUUCUUACUUUUUCCACAGCAUAUGGGUGACUUCAACUACCCAAGACUAGCAGAUUUUGGUGCUGCUAUUUCAGGCGCCAACAAGUUGCUUUGCCAGGAAGUUCUUGAAGAGUUAGAUGUAAGGGUUCUCAUGGAAUCUCCUUUUACAUAUUAACCAUGUUAUGCAUGCAGAUAAAUAUUUUUUUUUAUGUUAUCUCUGUACUGCUUCUGAAUGACAUUUGGUAUCUGACUUAUUAACUAUUACCUAUUAGCUACCUGGCAUCUUUUCUUUCGCUUUUAUCCAAAAUUCCAACUCAUUCAUUUUCAAACAGGUAUGCAAACGGUUGAAGUUGACUCUUGAGUUGAUAAAGAGGGAGUUAGAGAUUAGUAGGUUGCAGGUAAAUGCUGAUCUCAUAGGCAGACAACCACAUUUCAAGUGCCUUCUUUAUUUUUAAUUAUACUUCUAUAAAUGUCAUCAGGAAUCCAUAGCAAAAACAAUUGAAGAAAAAAUUACUGGAGAACAGCGCCGCUACUUGUUGAAUGAGUUGCUUAAAGCAAUUAAGAAGGUAGUGCUGACAUUGUUGUUCCUUGUUUUUAUUUUCUCAAAUACGCAAGAGAGCUGAGUAUCAUUGCAUUAAGGAGAAAGAGGUCUUAGGAUACAACACAAAUUACAUUAUGAUAGUGCCACUGAACUGUGAAUGGUCGACCUGCAGUACACACAGCUUAUUAUACCAAACUCAACUCCAGGCACAAGACCUCUGGCACCACUGCACCAGCCAGCACCCACGUUUGUGCUUCUUCCCUAGCUCACUGAUUAUUCAUACACAGCUUCCAUCAAGAAUCCAUGAUAAUAAACUAUAUUCCUUCUGUUGAGUUCUUGUACAGUACCUUGGUUCGUGAAUACGUAAUAUUAUGUUCAUUAUAUAAUUCGUCAUUCAUGUUAGAUGUUUACCUCGCCUGGUAAUACUCUUUUUUUUUGGGUUGAUUUCAUUUUGUUUGACAUGAUGUUUAGCUUCUAGUUUGAUAAUGUUUCAUUGCUUAGUAUGCCUGAUGUAUGCAGGAGCUAGGAUUGGAGACAGAUGAUAAAACAGCUUUAUCAGGUUUGUUCUUAAAAACUUGGUAUUUCGUUGUUGUGCCAACUAAAAAUCGAUUUUCCAUUAUCAAUCUUGCAGAAAAAUUUAGGGAAAGGAUUGAAGCAAAAAAAGACAAGUGCCCCCCUCAUGUCUUACAAGUCAUUGAAGAGGAGCUCACUAAGCUUCAGCUGUUAGAAGCUAGCUCCAGUGAGUUCAGUGUAACCCGCAAUUAUUUAGACUGGCUAACCGUGUUGCCCUGGGGAGAUUACAGGUUUGUAUUGUCUGUAUUUUUUAAAAAUAUAUUGGAUGGAUAGAUAUGUCCUUAUGUGUUGGUUUCUCUGUCUAUGGCAGUGAUGAAAACUUUGAUGUGCACCACGCUCAACAUAUUCUUGAUGAAGAUCACUAUGGUCUAGCUGAUGUCAAAGAAAGAAUUUUGGAAUUCAUAGCAGUUGGAAAGUUGAGAGGAAGUUCACAAGGUCUGAUUUGUUCCAUAUUAUAAUGAGUGCAGAUUUGGUGCCUAGGGGUCUGGCGCCCUCGUUAGCUAAAAUACCAUGAUGUUUCAAAAAUUAUCACAAAAAUCAUAAAUGUAGCACACAUAAAGUUAAGUAUAGCCGCAACAAUUCAGUUUGAAAUUCAUCCUAGAUGCCAAGAAGCAAAAUAGACAAGCAAUCAACAUGGCACUGUUCAUUUGCUGACAGUGACACUUCUGGUUUUUUUAAUCUCAGCAUCAAAGAUGGAUUCCAAACUGAAUUGAAGGCUACACUUGAUUAUUUUUAUGAUUUUUGAAACAUUGUAACAUGGUAUUUUAGCUGACGGGGGUGCCAUAUGAUUUUCCUAUUAUAAUGUUCUAAACUUGUUUUAUGCUGAAUGAGCGCUCUUUAUAAAGCCCUAAAAUCUAUGCUAAUUGUAUCUUAAUUGAAACAAUUACUGAAUUACAUACUUCGUAUUGUCACACAUUGAUCAAAAGUCAUGGUUCUUGCUGGAAAUAAAAUUUUAUAUUUUCUUUCAACUGCUUUGCUAUUUCUUAGUUCUCUUCCCUGGCCAGAUGCUCAAUGUAUGCUCUAGUGUUGGAGAACUGGGAUCUCAAGGCAUUAAGAAAAAAAAUAUGCUUUAUGUAAUACUCCUCUAGUUCCUGACUUCCUGUUAAUUCGAAUCAACAAUUGUAUGUAACCUGGUUCUACAAUUUUCCUCCUAACUGUAGCAAUAAAUAUCUGUUUUGCUCUUUCACUGCAGGUAAGAUCAUAUGUCUUUCUGGGCCACCUGGAGUUGGAAAAACUAGUAUUGGACGUUCAAUUGCACGUGCACUAAACCGGAAGUUCUACAGAUUCUCUGUUGGAGGUUUGACCGAUGUAGCAGAAAUUAAGGUUUGUUAUGCAUGUUAUGCAUUUAACAGAUCAUGAUUGCUACCGAGUAAAAUUUUCAGACCAUUUUAGGGUCAUCGGCGGACAUAUGUUGGGGCAAUGCCAGGGAAGAUUGUUCAGUGUUUGAAAUCAGUAGGAACAUCAAAUCCUCUAGUUUUGAUAGAUGAGAUUGACAAGGUAUUUGUGCGCAUCUUUGACUUAAAAGUCGCUAUUAUUGCUUCAUUUUAGGAACUGAAGUGCCAUUAUAUUUUACUUGCUGUUAUAUGGUGUACAAGAUUUACUUUAUAUAGCAAUUUUCAUGGUUCAUCUGGUAAUCUGGGUUAUUGUAUACUACCUUACUGGUUGUGUUGUUUCCUGCCUCCAGCUUGGGAAAGGGCAUUCAGGUGAUCCAGCCAGUGCACUAUUGGAACUUCUUGACCCCGAACAGAAUGCUAACUUUCUUGAUCACUAUCUAGAUGUCCCUGUUGACUUAUCCAAGGUUGGUCCAGUACUUCAAUAAGUGAUUCUCUUUUAGCUGCUCAAUUUGUUAUGGUCACUUCCAAUUGAAAUCGAAAUCAGUAUUUCAUUCUCUGUCUGCUAAAAAGAAUUCAUUCCAGACAAUAACAUCGUAAACAUAGGGACUUAGUAUGUGCCAUUCUAUAGAAUGACAUUUCGUGGUUACCCUAAUAUAGAUGAUAAUCCAAUGUUUUGCACUCCAAAACUGUAUUCUCUGUAUUUUGCCUUUAUUGAUGAUAUGGUCUCUCACCUUCUAAGUCCCUGCUUCCCACCUUGACAAAGCUGCCCCUUGCUAAGUAUAGUUAUGCCUCAGAGACUAUUAAAAACAAUAAGAUCAACCCAAUCAAGCUUGCGCUUUCCAAGGCCGGAAGCCCAACCCAGUCAGAAAAAGGAAUAGGCCUGCCUGAAAACCUCAGUUUAUUUAGUUCCUAUAUAUCCUCUCUCUCAUAUGUCGUCACUGGGUCUCACAUCUGCCGCGACAGCAUUGCACAAGAGUGGGCAGUGGCUGAGGGGCCUCUUGCUCGGAGACGAUGGAUGUGGCUUAGGCCUUGUUCUUGGGUUCGGUGGGUGGUUGUAGAGGCUGCACUUUGUUUGGAUAUAGUUGUUGUUUUGGGUAUGCUUCCAUCACCGGCCUCCAUGGCUGAUGAAUGAAGAAAACGACAAGGCAAAGAGGGUCGGUAAAGGUGUGACAAAAUAGUGAAAAGAUUGGAGUUAAAAAGGACAGGUUACAAGUCACAUUCUGUGGCAGUUUAGAUGUAAAUAUCCCCAUAAUAUGGUGUGAGUGUGUGUGACAAGGAAUAUGGAUAAGUUCAUAAUUAGGGGUAUACAUUCUACAUUCUUAAUCACUAUCUCCUGGAUGUAGCUUUUUUUAGAUCGGGUCUUUAACGUGUUUUUUAUUAAGAGGAAAGGCCAAAAGAAAGGCCGGAGCAUGGAUACAAAAGAACUCACAAGUAGUCCUAGGAUUACCGGUGGAAUCCUAAAGACACAAACAAAUAGCAAGAAUACAUGAGGGGAGGAGCGACCCCACCACAAAACACCAACUGACUAUGCCUACAAAAGAAAAUACAUCCACGCAAUGGUCGCCAACAGAGGGUGGGUUAAGCCACGGUGGCAAAGCAUCCACCGGUAGGUCCGCAAGUGACCAGGUAGUCGGUGCAAAGCAGAAGAUGACAGAAUCCGCCAGCGACCAGGUAGCCGCUGCGAAGUAGAGAACCAGUACCAUCAGCGACCAGGUAGCCACUGCGAAGUAGAAAACGACAGUGUCCGCCAGCGACCAGGUAGCCGCUGCGAAGAGGAACGACGGCGGCGACACCAAGCAGGCUGGACAAACCAUUGCAAAGACGAGCACGAGGCACACACAGGCACAGUCAAGAAGGGACGACUCCAACGAGAGUGGCAGGAGAUGGGCUGCAGUAGUGCUCCAACGAAGCUUUCAGGAAGGACCUUGAAAUCCGCAGACGCCAACAACGCUAGCAGAAGCACACGAGUAGGUCUCUCGAUCUCAGCCUACCCCAAUGGACAGGAGCUUCAACGACGCCUUCAAGAAGGAAACAUGGCGCAGGCUGCGCCACCGCCACAGGCCCAGGCGAGCCGGGCAAGGUUUUCACCCAGUUGUUUAACGUCCACCAGAGCAGGCCACCCAUAGCACCUGUAGCGGCGACAUUGAUGACAAAGGUCGAAGCCGCCAGCAUGGGCACCAUGACCGCAGCAACAUCAACACCACCACUAUGCCAAGAAGGUUGUUGGCUGCCGUCAUCCCCGGCCACCAGAUCCGCAGCACAGGCGACUCGCAAUCGACAUCACCAGCAGCCUCAGACAGCCGCCGCCCCGUCCACCCCUGCCACGGGCGGAUUGGGCAGACUGAGCUCUAGACCCGGAUCAACACUGGUGGCCAUGCACUCUACAUCGGCCGUCAGGAGUGCGAGUGUAGGGGCACACUAGCCGGCCGCAGGCCGCUUGCCCACCUUGCAGCAGACGCAGAUCGGCAGCCUUCUUGUGAUGAUUGAAUAAUUAUAGUACAGCCUUUGAGACUGGCCUUAUUGUGAUGAUUGAAUAAUUAUAGUACAGCCUUUUAUCCUCGCGAGGAACUUUACCGAUAAGUGUUUCCAUUUAAUGUGGACAAUAAUUGUGUUAAUUUUAUUAUAGGCUGACAUCUGUCUUUAUGUAAAAUUAGGUUCUUUUUGUUUGCACUGCAAAUGUCAUUGAGAUGAUACCAAGCCCUCUGCUGGACAGGAUGGAAAUCAUUGCCAUUGCCGGUUAUAUAACUGACGAGAAGAUGCAUAUUGCUAGGGAUUAUCUAGAAAAAAACACAAGGGAGGCCUGUGGCAUCAAGCCUGAGCAGGUAUAUGCUGCUUUUCUACUGUUUUCAGGAGAACACUAAGGGAAAGCUCGCAAAAAUGUAUUAGUGUAAAAAAAUAUGAUUUGCUUAGUAUUCUACAAAUGUUGCACAGAGAAUAAGUCUAACGCAACCAAAGCACGAGCAACUAGUUCACUGUCCAGUCAACACAAGCAAAGCACAAGCCAUUGGCUUGUUUGAGGGAGCUUUUUGCAGCUUUUGUUUCUCCAAAAAGCUCAAAAAACCAGAAGCUCUUCUUCAAGCAGACAAGAGCUCUAAAAGCUGCAAUUUUUAGUAAAAGCAGAGAAGCUUCCUCAGAGCAGCUUCCCGAGCUUUUCCAGGAGGCGCUUUUGGAAAAGCUACAGCUCCCCCAACAGGGCCAAGGAUUUCUUAGUAAUAGACCAAUCUUAUUUUAUACAACUAAAACUUUGUUAAUAAAUGCAAAUGUUUACAUGUAAUAUCAUCCAUCAAAAUCCACAAAAAACACUUUCAUAGACUAGCUCUCUAGGUGUGCAAGCUGUCAGCUAGGGAUCAAACCCUGGUGGCACCCAAAAAAAUCCCCCCUGCUGGCAACACCCAUCCACCAAAAAAAAUAAUGACACUUGACACGGCACUGGCAGUGGCAGUGUUCACCAGCCUAGGUAACGUCAUCCCAAUCUUAGUCCCUUCCCAUUCUCUGCCACCACGCGGCUAUCAUCCAGGUGGUGCUUACCACAAUGAUGAACUAUGGUUUGUCACAAGUAUGAGGUUUUGAGAAAAAGUCACAAGAAGAACAAGGACCUCCUAGCUUUCUUGCCGAGUUAAAAUACUAACAAACUGUAUAUGCAUUUAUCUAAUGCACUUAUAAAGUUUCCUCUGCCUUGUAUUUUUUUUAUUUACAGCUAAUUUAUUAACGGUUUAGUACAUGCUCAGGUUGAGGUCACAAAUGAUGCUCUUCUUGCUCUUAUUGAAAACUACUGCCGCGAAGCUGGUGUGCGGAACCUUCAAAAACAGAUUGAAAAAAUUUAUCGAAAGGUGAGUGAUGCCUUCAUCUUAAACAAUUUUGAACCCUCAUUUGUUGCUUAUCCUAUUUUAGGGGGAAAAAAGGAAGAUGUUGUUUAAUAGCUCAGUCUAUUAUGUAACCAGCAUAUGCCAUUUUCAUUGACUAAUAGGCCUGGACUGACCUGCAACUCACCAGUCAGUGAUAUGAAUCUUUGUAUGAGUCUGUUAUCUUGAAAAUCUCUCCUUUUUAGAGUGUCAUAGAAUCUGUGUGCUAUUAUCUGUAUACAGAGAAUGACUUAUGUAACUGUAAGCUUGUAGUUCACACAUUUUACAACUUUGAUUGCUAUUUAAAAAACGGUGUGCAUUUUAACUUAUAAAGAUGUCUUCCAGUAACUAGGACUAGGAGUAGUUAUUUCAAGGGAGUUACUGGAAGACAUCUUUGUACAUAUAUCCCAUUUUUAGUACUUGGUAGCAAGAAAUCACUUCAAUUUUGAUCAUCUGUAACUGAAAGGGCAAAUAAUAAUGAUAGAAAAUGAUGUGUUGAAGACAUGGCUACUAAUACCGUGUCCUUGUUUUUGCAUCCUUUUCAUCUACCAGUAACCAGACGUUUUCAUUUGUCAUCCCUGAUUCAACCUUUGCAGAUAGCUCUGAAACUUGUCCGUCAAGGGGUAUCAAAUGAGCCACCUCGAGAUAUCACAGUAGUAGAAGAAGAUAAAAAGUCAUUCAAUUUUGAUGUUGCAACAAAAGUAGAAGAUAAGAACUUGAAGAAUUCUAUCGCAGAAGAUGCUUCAGUGGACGUGGGCCCAAUUGAUUCUUCUCUUGAUAAUAUUGAUGUGGUGCCUUUAACAACAGAGUCGAAAGUAGGCCACAAUGAGCAUUUGAAUGAAGCACCUGCAAAAACUUUUGCAGAAGAGACAGCCAAACUAUCUAAUACUUUUAAGAUACCAGAGGUAAUAUGACUACCUUUGUAAUUUCCUACAAAUGGAACUAAAAUCUUGCACUCUUUAUGGUAAAUGUGCAAUGACUAUGCUGGCCCCUUGUGCACUUGAUUGUUGACAAUGUCAUGCACUAACUGCUGGCUCUGUACCUAGUUAGAACCAGACAGGGAAGCUACAGGUAAAAAUCAAACUUUUUUUUGUUCUUGGCAUGUGAUGAUUAUCCACUUUCCUGUGAUGGAAGUUUGAUAUGCUUAUGCUCUUAUUUCUAUUUUCUGGUAGCCUUUAUGACACUGUUUUUGUUAGUAAUGUACUGCAACAGAUGGUAUUCAUUCACAAUUUCUGGCUGAUUAUCGUGUCUAAGAUCUCCAGUAAAUAAAACCCAAGGCAAUUACAAAUUGCAGAUGGAUGCCUUAACUAGCAUAGGUUUGACUGAUUUGUGUGGUUAAGGCUUGUGCUCUAAUUAAACUGUUCUUUAAUACUUUUUUGUAGGCCAACAAUGAAAGCACACAUAGGACUAUGGAAGUGCUUGUAGACAAGCCUGAGGAGAAAGUUGUUGUCAAUGCAUCAAAUCUUGGUAAUUUUGUUGGGAAGCCUGUGUUCCAAGCAGAGCGCAUAUACAAUCAGACUCCUGUUGGAGUGGUCAUGGGUUUAGCUUGGAAUGCUAUGGGUGGUUCGACCUUAUACAUUGAGACAGCAAAAGUAGAGGAAAGCAAAGGCAAGGUCACACUUGUUGUGACAGGUCAGCUUGGCGAUGUCAUGAAAGAGAGCGCCCAAAUUGCACAUACAGUUUGUAGAGCUGUAUUACUAGAGAAAGAACCAAAUAAUCCCUUCUUUGCAAAGUCAAAGCUGCAUUUGCAUGUUCCUGCUGGCGCCACACCAAAGGAUGGGCCGAGCGCUGGGUGCACCAUGGUAACAUCGAUGUUGUCCUUAGCCAUGGGGAAAUCUGUGAAGAAAGACUUGGCAAUGACUGGUGAAGUAACUCUAACUGGACGAAUUCUUCCAAUCGGUGGGGUAUGGUUUUAACACUUUUUAUUUGCUUUCUGGUUUGGUAGGAAUUUACAUGCUAUACACAUUGGCACUCUUUUUCUUGUCUUUCAAAAUCAGGUGCAAUGAUAUUGUCAGUAAAAGCAAAUCUUGAUUUCAUGAUUGUGCCUGCUCCCCCUAGACUUCUCAAAUGAGUAUGAUCUGAAAUAUUCUAUCCCAUGUCAUUUGAAUUCUGGUAAUUGAUGAGUUAUCUACAUAUUAUAGAACCAGAUGAAUACAAUGAAAUAGGGGCAGAUCAUGCUCUAAUCUAUGGUCUUUCUCCAUCUAGAAUAUGCUCUGACCAUGGGUGGGAAAAACCCUUUCCUAGAUUGAAUUCUUGAUUGGCCCCCAUAAUCAUGGACUAGAUUACCUUUUAUAUAAGAGGUACUAUUUUACUAACUUAGGGAACUAGGAAAUAGACAAUCAAUAGAACUAUCUAACUUUUCCUAGUACUUCUCGACUAGAUAAGUUGUCUAAAUUAAUUUACCUCCUUCCAUAGCAUAACAUUUACGGUGAAGUUUUCAUAAAUGUAUCAUGUAAUAACAUCAAUUACGCAUUCAAAAGCUCUGAACCAUUCACAUGCGUACUUACAUUGUUUGCAACCUACUGUGAGAUUAUCAUAUUGCUAUUAUUACUGUCACUGAAAUGUCUCUUAGGUGAAGGAGAAAACCAUUGCUGCAAGGAGAAGUGGGGUAAAGACAAUCAUAUUCCCAUCAGCAAACCGAAGGGAUUUUGAUGAACUUGCUUCUAAUGUGAAAGAAGGUCUUGAAGUCCACUUUGUUGACAAAUACAGCGAAAUAUAUGAUAUAGCUUUUGCAAAUGAUACCAAGACACAGGAAAGCUAGUGAUUAACUGCUAGAGUUCAUUUUCCAUUUCAAUUCUUGGAAACAACAGAUUUAAAGCAAUCGAGCUUCUUCAAUAUGAGGAUAAUGGCUGGCUUCACAGAAACUUUUAACAUCCCUCACAAGUUUUUGGGCACAUCUUACGACAUGAGAACAUAAAAUAAAUUCUUGCAAGAGCGUAGUGCUAAUGCCAAUAUAGCUUGACAAGUUGCCCCCUUCCCUUCUGGUAAAUUAAUUGUUAUGUGAAAGCUCAGAAACAAUGGGAAUGCAUAAGUGUAAUCAUUGUCUAACUUGUACAUAAUUCCCCAGUGGUGUAUGUAUGUAACCUGGCCAUUGUAAGUUCUGAUAUUAUCAAAAAUAAUAAUUUUUUCAUAUAUAUGGUCGAAGUUAAAAAUAAUUAACUUCUGGAAAGUGAGAAUAAUAUUUAUUUUAGGACGGGGGGAGUACUAUUUAGGGCUUUUUGAUAUAGGAAAAAGUCUACAUAACCCCCUAAACUAUCUAGUGUGGACUACUUCAACCCCCCAACUAUGAAACCGGAUAUUCUACCCCAUCAACUUUAAAAACCGAUCAAAUAACCCCCUCGAGUGGUUUUGGAGGGUGGUUUUGUCUUUUUCUUUUUUAUUUAUUUUUACUGAAACUUUGAAAAAUCAUAAUAAAUUAUGAAAAAAUCAUAAAAUGAAAAUUUUAAUUUUUAUAGACUCGUGAUGAGUUGAUCUACACAGUGAAUAUAUAAUAUGGUAUACUUUAGUACAAAAUUUUUGUUGUAGCUUUAAAUCUAUGUUUUUCUGUAAUUAAUUUGAAUAAUUCAUAUAUGCAGUUCCUGUGGUCCAAUUGUGGUAAAAGUUUUAUGGUGGGCUCAUUAUUGUAUGCUUGAACUAUAGUAAAAAUUUCAUACUCAUUGGAUCACGUAUAACUUAGUUAUAAAUAAAGCAUAGAUUUAACAAGAAUAAAGCUAAAUAAAUUGAUAACUAAGUUAUACGUGAUCCACUGGGUAUGAAACUUUUACCAUAGUUCAAUCAUACAAUAAUGAGCCCGCCAUAAAAAUUUCACCACAAUUGGAUCAUAGGAACUGCAUAUAUCAAUUAUUCAAUUUAAUUAUAGAAAAAUAUAUAUUUAAAGCUACAACAAAAACUUUAUACUAAAGUAUACCAUAUUAUAUAUUCAUUGUGUAGAUCUUAAGUCCAAAAAAAUUCAAAUUUUAAUUUUAUAAUUUUUCUAUGAUUUAUUAUGAUUUUUCAAAGAUUUAGCGGAAAUAAAUAAAAAAGAAAAAGACAAAACCACAAUCCAAAACCACUCUAGGGGGUUAUUUGACCGGUUUUGAAAGUUCAGGGGGUAGAAUAUCCGGUUUUAUAGUUCGGGGGGUGAAGUAGUCUAUCCUUGAUAGUUUGGGGGGUUAUGUAGACUUUUUCCUUUUGAUAUACAUACCUAGUUACUAGUUAGGGCUAAAACUUAGCUUAAAUUAGUUAUGAUUGGCUAACGACUUGCUCUGUCUCUCUGAAAGCUUCAAUUACUAGAUUCCAUGCUAGUCAAAAAAAUUUAAGUUUAACCAAUUUUAUAGAAAACAGUAUCAAUAUCUGUGACAUAAAUUGAGUUUCUUAUGAAAAUGUAUUCUAUGAUAAAUCUAAUGGUACUAAUUUGGUGCCAUAGAUUUUAGUGUUUUUUCUAGAAAUUCGGUUAAAGUUUAAAAAUUUUGACUUAAGACAAUUCUAGGAAUUAAAGCUUUUAAAAACAGAGGGAGUAGUUGAAUACUUGGCUAGAAAAAAUAGCCUACCUAUUUGCUCUCCUAUUUUGAUGCACUAUAGCUAAUUUUAGUUAAUUUUUAACUAGCUUAGCUCUUGUAUCCAACGUACCCUUACUAAGGUCUUAAUUAUUUAGAUUCACCUAACUAUCUAGUUGUGUUAGCUGGUAGAAAUCAGCUAGUAACUAAUUGUUAGUGGAUGGUAGCUAAGAUAUUAGCUAGUUUAUUAGUUAACAGGAUUUAAAUAGGAAAUAAUCCGAUUUUUAGUAGCUAACUAUCAGUUAGAUGGAAUCAAACAUGUCCAAAAUAUAUCGUCUUGUUUGUUUGUUGAUAAGACAUGACAAAAAGUAUUAUUCGCUGAUUUAUUAUGAGAGAAAAAUACUGCUGAAUAGUUGACAGAUUCAGCUGAUAAGCUCAAGCGAACAAGUUGUAUAAAUAGCAUCAUGCACGUUUUUUUUUCUACGUCAGCCACCUCACUAGUAUUUUUAGCUAAUAACUAAAAAGUUAGUAACUAUUAGUUAAUUAUUAGCAAGAGGUUGUUUGGAUCCACUUGCUUAUAAGUUGUUAAUAUGUUGCUGGAAAUAUUUAAACAAUUAGCAUCCCUUUAUAGCUAUAUUUUGAUCAAUAGUGCCAAGAGUUGUUAAAUAUUAAUCAGACUAGUGAAUUCAAACAGGCACUAAGCAUGCACACGCUAACACACAUCAGCAGACAUCAUAUGGCGACACGGAAAGCUAGGUCCCAAUGAUGUAUAGAUGUACGCUUCACUUCCAUUUUCGGAGGGCUCAAACUCAUUUUUUUCUGUCGAUUUAUACAUUAUUUGGAUGCAAAGUAUUUGCAGAGUAUUAAAAUAUAAAAUACUAUGGUUCUAUAAAAUACGUCGUUUUUUUGGGAAUUUAAAAAACCCCAACCAUGCCUUUUUUAAAAUCAUGAUUUUGUUGUAUCUUUUUAUAGCUUAUAAAACCACAAUUCUGUGAUCAGAGUCAGAGCCAGCUUUUAUAGGGGCCAAUUUGGGAGGAAAACCAUUGUUCACAGGAAUCAUUGACCUCGAUUAUACAUUGUUGCCGUAGAGAUGACCCAAUCAAACAUUUGGCAAACCCUCCCUGUUUGUGAUACCAUUUUUUUUUCAAAACUACCUCACCCAAACAUCCCCUUGCAAUCUUUAAAGAGCAAUAAUAAUUUCUCGAUCUACUCAAACAAACAGUGCAUCGUCCUUGAUUGUAUUCAUGCUACGGCAACCGAUCACACAUACAAACAAAUCAGAUGACAAUAUGUUUGCUAAAAAUGAGCAGGAAAAGAGAGAGAUGAUCGUUCGUGACAGGCUGAUAUGUGCGUAACAGCGGGAAUAUGUGCAGUUUGCUAGCUGGCCAGCUACGUUCUCUGAAAUCACUUGAAGCAUUUACGUACUGGCACGGUCUAAAGAGGAAUGAAAUGAAUGUUCUCAUUCAGUUUAGCCUUCCAGUUUGCUUGAUAGGUUAGUUGGCACCCGAAUUAGGGACGACCAAUGCGGUGUGUCACACAUAUAGAAAUUCACACGCAUCACGUCACAUGCUAUUCUGAAUUUCUGAUAGCCAAAUUGCCAGCCGGCCGGCCAACGGUGUAAUCCCCAGUGGCAGUCUGGCAGACAUUAACAUAGACUCCCAACUCCAGCCGGCGCACAAUGUGUUCCGUCGAGUAAAACAACGAAACUUCCGAACCCAACGCAUCACCUAUACUUCUCUAGUAUUAAGGUCUCUGGCACGUACUGCACUCCACGUCUGCACCGACGCCGGCGAGCAUUCGAUCCAGCGACCUACGGGACGCGAGCUCUCCGGCCUCAGCUCCGGUCGUAGACGAAGACGAUGUCGUCUGAGGACGACGACCGGCGACCGCGGCAGCAACGGCUGCUCCCCGUCCCGAUCAUCCCCUUCGUCCUCUUCCUCGUCGCACCGUUCGCCCUCUUCAUGCUCACGUCGCCCGACCUGCAGUGGCAGCUCCCACGCAUCCGCAUCGAGUACGACGACGACGAGCCCUCCAGCGCGCCCACGCACGAGCGCACUUCGUCGACGCCACCAAGGUCUCCGGUUCUUGCCGGUGCCAAAAGCGACGAAGAGCAACGGCGGCUCCCGCUGCCGCCGCCGCGCCAGCUGACUGACCCGCCGUACACGCUCGGCGCAGCCGUGUCGGACUACGACGCGCGCAGGGCCAGGUGGCUCCACGACAACCCGCGGUUCCCGGCCUUCGUCGCGCCGGGGAGGCCCCGGGUGCUCGUGGUCACCGGGUCGUCGCCGCGCCGGUGCGGGAACGCGGACGGCGACCACGUCCUCCUCCGCGCGUUCAAGAACAAGGUGGACUACUGCCGCGUCCACGGCUUCGACGUCUUCUACAGCAACGCCGUGCUCGACGCCGAGCUGUCGGGGUUCUGGACCAAGCUGCCCAUCCUGCGCGCGCUGAUGCUCGCGCACCCAGAGACGGAGCUCCUGUGGUGGGUGGACUCCGACGUCGUGUUCACCGACAUGCUGUUCGAGCCGCCGUGGGGGAAAUACGCGGGCCACAACCUCGUCGUUCCGGGCUGGGACGACAAGGUGUACGCCGCCAAGAGCUGGCUCGGCAUCAACGCCGGCAGCUUCAUCAUCCGCAACUGCCAGUGGUCGCUCGACCUGCUCGACGCGUGGGCGCGGAUGGGGCCGCGCGGCCCCGUGCGGUACGAGUACGGGAAGGUCCUCGGCAAGGCGCUGUCGGACCGGCCGUCGUACGAGGCCGACGACCAGUCGGCGCUCGUCUACCUGCUCGUCACGGAGCGCGGCAGGUGGGGCGACAAGACGUUCCUGGAGGGCUCGUACAGUCUGCACGGCUUCUGGCUGGCGAUCGUGGACAGAUACGAAGACAUGCGGCGGGACGCGACGGCGACGCCGGGGGGCGGCGGUGGCGAGCGGUGGCCGCUGGUGACGCACUUCGUCGGGUGCAAGCCGUGCGGGGGGCAGUACGCGAGCUACGAGGCAUCGCGGUGCCGGCGCGGCAUGGAGCGCGCGCUCAACUUCGCCGACGACCAGAUUCUGAGGCUGUACGGGUUCGAGCACGAGUCGCUCAACACCACCGCCGUGCGGCGCGUGCGGAACGAUACCGGAGGACCGCUGGACGCGGACGACGUGGAGAUCGGCCGGCUCUUGCACCCGACGUUCAGGGCGGCUAGGCCCUGGUGAUUCGUGAAGUACAUUGCAGGUUUUGCAUUGGUUAAUUUAAUUUGGAGAUUCUGCGGCCUCGAUGUCAAUGUGGUAAGAGGGGUGUAACAUGCGCGUCUUUUAUAGGAUUAUUACACAAAAAUUCAUUUCUUAAAGGAUGACCUGAUUCUCAUUGUGCCCAAAAUUCAUUUCUUUACUGAUGACUGGAUUGUUCCCAAUUGUGUUUUAUAAGCAAUAACCACUGAAUUGCAUCAGAAGUAGUUUUGGGUAAACACAGGUAUUAGUCAUCACUGCUCUACUAUGGUGUAUAUGUCUUGUAGAGGGGGGUGGGGGGGUUAGGGGUAUUUGCAGUCCUUGUAUAUUAACAACCAUUGUUAGUCUUGUUAUUGGUCAUGUUGUCACACAAUGGCAGCUUGCAGCAGGAUGAUAGCAGGGAGUGAUACUAUGAUAGUGUAAGAGCAACUUUAGUAGGGCCUUUACUUGAGCCUCAAUAGCUGAAUAUGGGUGUCCAACUCAAAAUUCAAAUCCAGCAGGGCCUCUACUAUGGAUCCCAAAAUUAUUGGGCCAACAAAAUCCUCCCACCAGUCCUAAUUCCUAUUGGCUCUUGACCCAGCCCUCAAAAUUCCCCCGACAGGUCCCCACCCGUGCAACCACUGCCCCGGCGCCGUCUCCUCCUCGACACCGACCCUCCCUCGGCAUGGCCUUCUCCUUGGCGCAGCCCUUGCCUAGCGAGAGCUCGUUCCGGCCGUGGCGCAAGCUUGUCCCUCUGACGAGUGCCUCCCUCCAACAAGCACGGGAGCCAUGGUGAGUACGACGAGCACGGGAGCCAUAGCCACACCCAUAGAGAGAGAGAGGAUGAGGUAAAGAAAGGCUUAACUCAAUGACGUGUGGUCUCUCGCAUGUCAUUGUAUAUUGAUAUGGAUUUUAGAGGCUUUUGUUUAGGAGCUGCUGCUAGAGUGGAAGAAAUUUAUUGGGUCAACAAAAAAAUAGGAGAGAGCACUCAAAUCCAAAGGAGGGCGCCUGAUUUGGGGCUACUGACAAAUGACCACUACGGGGCCUGACGCACAAUACGGUCUACUUCACCAGUUCACCUUCGUGGAUCCUUAUCUUAUUUACACCAUUCUGAAUUUCUGAUUGUAUUGGUUGUUCCAUAUUUCCCACUCGGUCUGUUUGAACAAACACAUGUAAGGUCUUGUUUGGAUGUAGUCGGAUUCGCAUCAAUCCACAUGUGUUGGAGUGGAUUGGAGUGAAAUUUAAACUAAAUUCCACCACAAUCCACUCCAACACAUGUGGAUUGAGGUGAAUCCGACAACAUCCAAACAAAGCCUAAAUAUGUAAUCACGCCUGUAAGCUCAGAAGCUCUACGUGUUGGCUAACCAUCAAGGCAUCAAUAGAAGAAGCAGAUUACUAGCUAGGUGGCAGUCUGGUCAGCAUGGCCAUUUGGAUUUUGGAUCACGUGAGAUCGGUAGCUCCUCGCCGCGCAAUGAUGGGUAGGAAGGAACGCAAGGAGCCUAUGGUCCUGUUUGGCAAAACUAACUAGUAACUAGGAUUAGGGGAACUUUUUAUGACUUAAGUUAUGGCUUUUCUAGCGGACAUGCAGUUCGGUAAAAUUUUGGUUAUGGCUUCGGCAAGCAGGGUCAAUAGAGGAGCGGGUAGGAGCUAUUUUAUUUUUCUUGCUCCCGCUUCAAGAUUUCCAGUGCAAAAAGCGACUCCAGCUCUAUGGGUGCUUCACGCGGGAAGCCGUUUUGCUGUUGACCGUUUGGUGAAGCUUCUGGAGAUCUUGAAGCUUGUUUUUCUAACUAUAAGCUGAAGCCGAAUUCGAAACACUACAAAAGGGCCAGAGUGUAGCAAGUACCGUAACAGACAAAUGACCACUACAGGUGUGACGCACAAUGAACGAACUGAGAAGGAAAAAGUCCACUUUUCCUUCUUCAACUUUUGUAAAAAUUUGAUUUUCUUUUCUAAACUCUAAAACUGGACAAACCAUUUCUCUCAAAUUUUAAAACCUUGUGUUUUACAUCAUUGUUGGUUCUAAAAGCAGUUUUGUCUUUUCUUUUAUUUAUUUCAGCUGAAUUUUUAAAAAAUCUUAGUAAAUAAAAAAACAUAAAAUAGAAAAUCUAAUUUUGUUGGACUCUACAUGAGUAGUCUACGUAGUGAACACACAAUAUGGUAUACUUUACUAUAAACUUUUUGUUGUAGAUUUUUGAUCUAUUUUUUCUAUAAUUAUUUAGAAUAAUUCACAACAUCAGUUUCUAUGGUUUAAUUGUGGUAGAAUUUUUUAUGGUUGCCUAAUUAUUCUAUGUUUGAACUAUAGUAUAAAUCAUACUUAUUGAAUAACGUAUAACUUAGUUAUAGUAUUAUUUGGAUUUAACAAGCAUAAGCCCAAUAAUUUUAUAACUAAGAUAAAAUUUUUACUACAGUUUAAUCAUAUAAUAAUUAGGCCACAAUAAAAUUUUUUACCACAAUUGAACUAUAAAAAUUAUAGUUAUGAGUUUUUUCUAAUUUUUCUAAUUAAUUAUAAAAAAUAAUAGUUCAAAAUAUACAACAAAAACAUUAUACUAAAGCAUACUAUAUUAUAUAUUUAUUGUAUAGAUCUACUUAUAUGGAGUCUAACAAAAUUGGAUUUUCUAUUUUUAUAAUUUUAUGAUUUACUAUGAUUUUCAAAAUUUCAGCCAAAAUAAAUAAAAAAAGAAAAAGACAAAACCGUCUUCAAAAUCACUUAUAGCCGAUUCAAGGAAAUAAAACACAUAGUUUAAUAGAGCAUCUCCAACAGCCUUUCUAAAUUUCACUCUCUAAAUCAUCAUUUGGAGAGCCAUUUGCAUAAAAAUCGCUUUCUAUAUUUUUUACUUUCCAACAGUUUUGCUAAGUCUCAUGCGCACUCUAGAGAGUCAUUGUCGUCUUCUAUAUUUGGCUAGCGAAAAACCCGGAAUAGACAAUAGCUAUAUUUGGAUGACCAUUUAGAGAAGCUAUUGGAGGGUAGUUUUUCAUCAAAACUGUUAUUCCUAGCAUUUAGAAAGAAUAUACAAAGUUUCUUGAAGAUGCUCUGGUUAAAGAAGGUAGUUUAUACGGUUUUAAAGUCCAGGAAGGAAAAGCGGUGUAAAAGUUGAUGGAGAAAAAAUAGGCUUUUUUCAAUUGAGAAUUCACAUGAACGCCGAACGCGGCCCUCACCAGUUCACCUAUCUGGGCCGAGAUAUCAGGCACCACGUCGCCACCAAAUAACGGGCUUUUCCUAGAGACUCAGGAACAGGGACCUCGGCCCAAUCUUGAUGGGGAUUUUUUCAUGAAAAAAGUCCAAUUUACCUCCCACAGCUAUUGCGGUCAUUUGAUUUUUCUCAUUGAUAUACAAAACCACAUUAUUAACCUCCCACGAGUUUCGAAAACCAUUUAACUUUGCACCUUGAGCGGUCUUGAGAGUGGUUCUGCUGAUGUGGCGCCACGUCAAAUAAAGUAAAUUGGACUAAGUUAAAAAUUAAAGGAGGUAAUCGGACUAGAAAUAUAUUUUAUAAAAAACAUCUAAAAUUUUACUUUAAAUAUAAAAAUUAUCAAAAAAUAUUUUAUAUGAAAAAUAAUAUAAUUAGAAUCAUGCUCUUACAUUAUCUUUCCUUGUAAAAAUAAGUUUGAAUAACUUUUUGAAUUUUUUAAACAAUUUUUAGAUAUUAUUUUAAAAAAGUAUUCCUAGUCUGAUCUACCUCCUUGAACUUUCAACUUAGUUUGAUUUACCCCUCUGACGUGGUGCCACAUCAGCAAAACCACUAUCAAAGCCUAGGAUUGCCAUCCCUAGUUAUGAACCAUACAUUUUUGCCCCCUAGUUUGUGCAAAGAGCUAAAUACUCUAUGGGUAAAUGAGUUAAUUGAUCCUGAUACUUGCUCUUGGAAACGUGACACCGAGUAGUCCGACUUCAAGAUGCCAACGGAUAGCCGAAACCUAAGUACCCGACGAGUUUUACCCGAUAAAAAAGCGGGUAUAGAAUGAUUUUUCUACCCAUAGGUAUACUAUUGGGCAAAAUCCUAUACCCAUCGGGUAUGAUGGGUACAGGUGUAGGUGUAUACUACCCAUACCCGUCUACCCGCGGGUAAAAAACACCCGUCAAAAUAGCUAGCCGCUCUUGUCAUUCUAGCCCAUCUAACCUAUGAAUUUGGCUCAAAUCCAACUAAAGUCUCCUAGUAUAUAUAUAUAAAUUUGAUGUCAUUAUAUGAAUGUUAGUCUGUAACUUAUUGGAGGCUUGAAAUGAUUAUUUUUUGCAUGUGAAUAUGUGACAUUUAUAUAUAAUUCUUGGGGUAUAUUGUCGGGUACGGGUUACUCGUCGGAUAAAAUUUACCCGCACGGAUGCGGGUAAGGGAGUAUUUUUCUACCCGUGUGCAGGUACGAGUAACCCGACUCCCACUGCUAGUAGUUUCUAUCUAUAAAAAAUAUUCUAAGAAACUGAAUACCUUUGAAUUCUUUAUUUAGGAAUUGAGAUGUCCGUACCUUAAGAUACAAAAUGUAGAACGAGAGGUGAGAGUAGACCUUAUAGAUACAAAAACAGGAUGAUAUGAUGUGUUGCUGGGCUUGGAAUGGUUGACUAUGCAUCAUGCUAUGAUUGAUUAUAUAUCCACGCAAGAUGACAUUCCAUAAAGGCAUAGUGGGUCUCACGGUUGAAAACGAGUCUAUAGCCUCAACGCAAAAUAUAUACUCCCUUCGUCUUAAAAAAUAUAAUUCUAGCAAAAUGUCAUACUUUUAGUACCAAUUAUAUAUGGUACUAAAGGAAUAUUAUUAAAUUAAUUAUAAAAAAUAUUUUUAUAAUAAAUUAAUUUAGAGCCAUAAAUAUGAAUAUUAUACAGUAGAAACUUAAUCAAACGCAAACCAUUCAAUAUGGUACGUAACCUAUAGUUAUAUUCUUUUGGGGAUAGAGGUAGCUGAUAGUUUGAUCAAGUUUCUACUGCAUUCAAGUAAUUACGUGGUACAUCGAACAAAAUAAUAUAACUAUGGGUUACGUACCACACGUCGAACCAAAGCCAUAAUUAUGCAUUCCUCGAGCACAACCCAUCCUAAAUUGUGCAGCAAGCGUUGCACCUAGAAAUUUGCUCUCUCUUUGAGUGCCAGUGGGAAAACAAUCCCUGCUUCGUAAACUAAUUCCAUUAAAAAAAGAUGGCAACGAAUCAACUAAUUCCAUUUCAUAAACUACAUAAAACAAAAGUAGAUAAAGUGUGAGAAGACGACGACAGAGGACUCAAUUUCUCAAACUAAACAUCUCUAACUAUAUAUGGAAGGAACCUUGAUUUUAUAGAAAUUCUAAGGUAAAGGUUUGACGUAUCACGGUUGAAGAACACUAUUGAAAAUACUGGACAGACCGUUUCCCAAAGUAUGAGGUCCCAAAUCUCGAUGCCUCCUAGGAUUAUGGGGCAUUUCAUUGCCCAUGUGUAUCGGCUUUAGAACCUGUGCGGGGUUCAAAUUUCCUCAAACUGUGAAGGUUGACGUGCCGGCAUCUCGUAAUGCAGCAAUCAGAUUCAGGCGAGGCGAAUGGGGCCAUUGCGGUCAAUGGGCCUUGUUGGAGCCCGUUAAGCAUUAUAGACUAUAUUUCUUCGUGUUUUUUUUUUUUUUUUUUGUUCCUCAAAAAUAUACUUCAGUUCACUCUGGCUUUGUUCAACGCUUAAGGAAGUUAGAAAUUUAUUCACAUACUAGUACCAGCGCUGGGUAAAUGAAGCGUGCAUUAUAAUCCGACGACCGCAGACUUCGAAACUGCAGGUGACGACGUUGCUAGAUCUCCAUCACUACUUACAGUGUACGUGCAGGCGUGCAGCGUCAAACCAGCCGAAAAAGGUUCGGUGCAGCUCCUUCCAUUCCAUCGUCGACGAUGACGACGGAGCAACCCGUCACGGCCGACCGACGAGCUCGGCAGCAUCGUCUGCUCCCCCUUCUGGUCCUCCCCGUCUUCUUCCUCGUCGCGCCGUGCGCUCUCUUCUUCUUCAGAUCGUCCGACUUGGCCCUCAUCCCCCGCAUCCGCAUCGAGUUCGACCGCCCACCUAAAAAUGAGCCGCCGCCAGCAGAGCCAGUGCCACUGACGUCGCCACCACCACCACCGCCUCCGGCUCCGGGUGCGAACGAUGACGAGGAGCAACGACGGCUACCGCCUCCGCGCCAGCUGACGGACCCACCGUACUCGCUCGGCCCGACCGCCGACUACGACGCGCGCAGGGCCCAGUGGCUCCGCGACAACCCGCGGUUCCCGGCCUUCGUCGCGCCGGGGAGGCCCCGGGUGCUCGUGGUCACCGGGUCGUCGCCGCGCCGGUGCAGCGACCCGGACGGCGAGCACUUGCUGCUCCGGGCGUUCAAGAACAAGGCGGACUACUGCCGCGUCCACGGCUUCGACAUCUUCUACAGCACCGCGGUGCUCGACGCCGAGCUGCCGGGGUUCUGGUCCAAGCUGCCGCUGCUGCGGACGCUGAUGCUGGCGCACCCGGAGGCGGAGCUCCUGUGGUGGGUGGACUCCGACGUGAUCUUCACCGACAUGCUCUUCGAGCCGCCGUGGGACAAGUACGCCGGCCACAACCUCGUGCUCCCGGGCUCGGAGGAGAAGGUGUACACCGCCAAGAGCUGGAUCGGCAUCAACGCCGGCAGCUUCAUCAUCCGCAACUGCCAGUGGUCGCUGGACCUGCUCGACGCGCUUGCCCGGAUGGGGCCGCGCGGCCCCGUGCGCGAGAUGUACGGCAGGGUCAUCGCCGGGACGCUCUCCGACCGGCAGCCGUACGAGGCCUGCGACCAGUCGGCGCUCGUCUACCUGCUCGUGACGGAGCGGCGCAGGUGGGGCGACAAGACGUUCCUCGAGAGCUCCUACUGCCUCAGCGGCUUCUGGGUCUACAUCGUGGACAAGCUCGAGGAGAUGCGGCGGCGGGAUUCGACGACGACCCCGCCGGAGCCCGGCCACGAACGGUGGCCGCUGACGACGCACUUCAUGGGGUGCAAGCCGUGCGGCGGGGACGACUCCACCUACGACGCCGCCUGGUGCCGGCGCUCGAUGGAGCGUGCUCUCAACUUCGGCGACGACCAGAUACUCAACCUUUACGGGUUCGAGCACAAGACGCUCAACACCACCGCCGUGCGGCGCGUCCGGAACGACACUGGCGGGCCGCUGGACGCGGCCGACGAGGAGCUCGGACGGCUCUUGCAUCCCACGUUCAGGGCUGCCAACUUGUGACAACUAAAGUAGUAGGAAUUUGUUUGUUUUUUUUACGCAGAAAUUUGUUUUUCGUCGGCAAAAUCACGAAAAGUUGCAACUCUCGCUCCGUCCCAAAGAAGAGUAUCAUUUUAGAUUUUCUUAUACUAUAUAUAAGUUUGACUCGAUUUGUAAAAAAAUACGUACAAUAUUUAUAUAUCUAAAUAAAUUUGUUAAAAAAUUAAACUUAAAGAUGUUUUCAAUGAUACUAAUUAUGUACUAUAAAUAUUAAUAUUUUGUAGUAUAUAUUUAGUUAAAGUUAUUUUUUAGGAAACGCAAACGAUAUUUAUUUUAGGACGAAGGAAGUAUGUUAUAAUGAGUUUAGCAUGCCUACGAUCGAAUGGUAGCAAGAUAGAAGCUCGAGUCUUUUCCUUUCCAUGUAUCUCUGUAAGGUGAAGUGUGGCCUUAUAUAGUACUUAUAAAAGCGUAAAAUGUGUGUUUUUUCACUUACUAAUACUGGAGACCGGAACAUUGAACAUUCUUUAUAAUCUAAAAAAACUAGUAAGUUAUACUUAUUCCUAGAGGGUUGGUGAGUGAUGGGGUUUUGGGGUGAAGGGUGGGGGGCUAAUGUUGAGUUAUUGAUUGAGAAAACAAAAAUUGCUCACCAUAUUUCACAAAUCGCAUAGAAAGGGCCAACUCCUUAUUUCCCAUUGCAAAAUUUUACAAUCCGUUACUGUCAUCGAUGUCACAAUAAAUCAUGGGGUCCAUGUAUGUCACUAACCACGACAACUAAGCGAUUAGUCGAAUUGUCUGACAGUUCUGCCCAAAAUAUAACCUACUACUACUAGUUCAUUCAAAACGUUUUGAUUUUUUCUAAACAUAGUGUAUAUCUAAGCUCAUAGUAAAAGCUAUGUGUCAAAAUGUCUUAUAAUUUAGAAUGGAUUGAGUAUUAGACAGUUUGACAUUACACCAAUAGUGGUAAUCCUUUUCAAUUUCCCGGCACAAAAUUAGGAAAAAGCGAAACAAGCAUACUGCAACAACGAACUGGAGAAAAAUAAUCAAUUAACCACCUCAGCUUAAUUGGGUCUAACACUGUCAGUCACUACAGUCAAGUAGAGCUACUGUAGAUAACUACGGAUGGCUGUUUAUACAUCCAUCACAAACGGUAGCGGUAGUACAGGAAAAACUAACCGCAUCUCGACUAUCUAGCAAAUAUUUUCAUUGUAUUGCCUUGUCUAUUACGUUAACUACAUGUUACACUAUAACAUUUAUCCUGUGUAACUAACUCUGAUUUUUGCACUUGCAGCCUUCUACUAUCCCGUACCUUAAAUUUUGUGUUCGCUAAAACAAAAGACAGGAGCAGCACAUCCAGUGUCUCAGUUGAUUUGUUUCUCAGCCAAGUGACUUGGCAGGUAGCUCAUGAAAAAUGGCCGAGCAUGAUUUUUUAUGUUCAGGUACUUACAUCAGCUUCAUCCAGUGAUGAAGACAAAUAAUUCAAGAUGAAAUCAUCUAUGUCUCCUUCUAGGACUGAAUCGGGGUCAGAUACUUCAUAGUUCGUCCGGAGAUCUUUGACCAUACGGUAUGGCUGACAAAAUGCAAUAAGAACAAUUAUUUGCUAAUAUAUGUUGACACUAUACAGGGAUGCUCAUUAGAAAGGUUACAAGAGAAAAAAUAAUUUGUCUAGAAAGAUUUAUGUUCUCCUUUUUCAAAACUUCAUUAGCUAGAAAGAAUAUGACAGAAAAUUUAGAUAAAAACAUGUAAUUAGUGUAUCCAUAAUGGACCAGAAAGUACUCAUUAGUUUGCAGCUUCUUUGGUAUUCUAAAUGGAAAGCUUACAUGGAUAAUGGAUCAGAAAAUUUAGAUAAAAAUCCUGAGGUGAGUAUGUAAACAAAACAGAAAUAAGAAGAUUAACACCAUAGACUACUAGUUUAAGGGGAACACCACGAACACAGAUAAUGCUACUGAGAGGAGUUUUAUCAUAACUAGAGUUGAUAGUUUAAUUUGGUAUUCUAAAUUGAAAGCUUACAUGGAGAACAUAAGAUCUUAUUUGGUUGCCCCAGCUGAUUUCAUUGAGUGAUUGUGUGUGCUCUGCAUUCAUCUGUGCUUGGCGAGCAAUCUCAAGCUGAUCAAGACGAGAUUGGAGCACUGCCAUUGCUGAUGCCUUGUUCAUGUGCUGUGAUCUGCAUUUCUCAAUCAGGAGUACAGCGCUUUAACAUUAAUGUUUAUAAACAUUCAACGAUAGAACUAUUUCUGAUUGAUAACACCCAUCGUUUAAGGGGAAACAGAUAUUUCAACUUAUGCUCAAUGGAUCAAAAAUUCCAUAUCCAUACGAGAAACGAAUAAACUUGUGAAAUACUCCAUCCAUUCUAAAUUAUAAGACGUUUUGGAUUUUCUAUAUACUCCCUCCGUAUAGGAUUUAGAAGUCGUUUAGGACAGUGACACGGUCUCCAAAACACAACUUUGACCUCUUAUUUUUAUAAAAAUAUUUAGAAAAAAAUGAUAUAUGUAUACUUUUAUGAAAGUAUUUUUCAAGAUAAAUCUAUUCAUAUAAUUUUCACAUUUGUAAACUCAACAAUUUAAAAGUUAUUGAUAAUUUAUAUUGCAAUGUUUGACCCAAACCUUGUCCAAAACGACUUCUAAAUCCUAUACGGAGGGAGUACAUUGUUUUUCCUAUGUAUGUAGACAAGUGUAUGUGUAGUGCAUAGCAAAUAGCUAUGCAUCUAGAAAAGCCAAAAUGUCUUAUAAUUUGAAAUGGAGGGAGUACAAAGGAGAAGACAUCAAAUUUACCUUUCAUUUUGACAUGUUGCACUUAUACCAGUUGGGAUGUGCACAAUUCGAAUGGCACUCUCUGUAGUGUUGGCAUGCUGACCACCAGGGCCACCAGAACGGAAACGUUCUAUCCUAAGAUCAGAAUCUUUGAUCUGGUAUCGGCUAGCAGCAUCCCCAAGAAUAGGUAUUACAGCAACAGCUGCAAAGGAAGUGUGCCGUCGCUUUCCACUGUCAAAUGGAGAAAUUCGCACCAAUCUAUGAACUCCUACUUCAGCUUUGGCAUAUCCAAAUGCAUAUUCACCAUCAACUUUGAUAGUGGCCCUCUGGAAAUAGCAGCUGUUUAAGAUCAGUUCCUUUUUUCGAAAUAAUACUCAAAUUAGAAAAUAAUUCCUUCAGAUGGAAUAGAUAGCAAAAGCCUGUACGUUCAGCAACACAUACUAGUGAGAAAGAUAACCUUGAUUCCUGCUACUUCACCAGGCAUCUCUUCUACCACAGUGACUGUAUAUCCUCGUCGCUGGGCCCAUGACCUAUACAUGUUCAUGACCAUUGCAGCCCAGUCCAUACUCUCGGUGCCACCAGCCCCUGCCUGAACCUGAAACCAUCAUCAUAAGGAAUCACCCACUGAAAACCUCGCUAGGAAAGCAUAAGAUGAGCAUUAGCGCUUCAACAACAAGUGCUCUAGAUGGAGCAGCAAGCUGAAAAUUUCUUGCAAGCAUAAUGAAAUUAAGGGAGUAAGAUGGUACUCAAAGUAAACCUCAAUGAAGCAAGGACAAGAGUCAUUGUCUCCAGAAAGUAACGCAUUAAGUUCUUUCUCCUUUGCACUUCUUCUCAUAUCGGCUAAAGCCCUCAUGCUUUCCUGCACAGAACAGUUAAAAUAACAGCUGAAACAGAUAGAUGGUCUGUACUGUAUUUCAAGCUUUAUAUCAUGUAAUGAGCACUGUACUCACCAUCUCAAGUUCAUUAUCGUUUUCUUCACGUGCAAGCCGUAGCAUCUCAAUGUGUUCAAUCAAUUCCUGCUCAAACUGGUUCACUGACUUAAUCUUGCCCAUGAGCUCACCCUGCUCACGGCUAACCCUCCCAGCAAAAACUGGAUCUUCCCAGAGGUCUGGCCUCUCCAACACCACAGCCAAUUGCUUCGUUCUCUCAAGUAUCCAUCCCCACUGAACAGAUCAGAACAAUGCCCAAUUCAAACAAGAUAAAAAUGAGCAUAAACACACUCUGCACAUAAGGUGUUCGCUCAAAUGCCUGAAUGAAUCAAGAACAUAAGAUGCACAUCCUUGCGCAACAAUAGCGGGCAAUUCGGCAAUCUAACCAACGGAAAAGCACAAACUAUCGGGUGUCAUGCGAAUAUUGGACCUUGAGGCGCUUCUUGAUGAGCUUGACGGACUGCGCGACGGCGGCGGCGUGGCUGCGCCAGUCGCUGUCGGCUUCGGGAAGGAUGGUCCACCCCUUGUCGGCGAUCGAAUCUACCGUCAGGCCGUCAGCGGUCAUCGGAGCCUCCGCCAACGCCUCCGUGGACGGAGAGGAGAACCACCGCACCGGAACGCGGAGGAGCGUGGAGUCGGCGGCGUGGGGGAGGCCAUCAGUGGGCCCCAGGAGGGACGCCAAGGCGGCGGCGUGGGAGAGGGGGCGGUGAGCAGUGCGUAGCGUCUUGCGGUGGAGGCGGGAGACGAGGCGCGCCGCCGCUGAUCUGGUUAAGAGGCGGGAAGCCAUUUUCGUGGGACUCGAUGUUUCGACCGGUCCGCGCCGGCGAGGGGAAGGCUCGGGAACGGCAAGGCUACUGAUAGUCGAAAAUACGCUUCGAUGCUUGGAAGGCGUAUAAUGAAGAGCGUGCUUUGAUGCUCCGUCGGAAGGAUGCUGCAUUCAGGGUUUUUUUUCUUUUCCCCCUUCUUUUGAGGCAUGAUUACCAACGUAUAAAACCGUUACCGCUAACGUCACAUUUGUAACUUUUUUCGAAAGGAGGCAAAAAAAAAUUUACUAGAUGGAGAAAAGAGAAAAAACAGGUACAAAAACAGACACAAUUUGUAACUGAAGUUCAAUUGCCGAAGCAACGGAUGCCUCGGUGAGGCGGUGAUGCUUUUGUGAUGACAAUGCAAGAUCGUCCAGUGAUACCCGUUAACGGCUAACGUUACCGCCCUGUUCGCUUGAGCAUACGAUAAUAUUUUUCUCACACAACAAAUCAAGCAGCAAACUUAGAACAUAAUUUGUAACUGAAGUUCAAUUACACGAUAGUACCAGCAGCUCAAAGCAUGAAUACAACGUCCCAAGUUAUCGUACACAAGGGCCUAGUGAAGCAUAACAAUGCGCGACAUGCGAGGGUGACGGUGCCCCCAAACGAUUUUAGGGGACAGGACUAGUCGGCGAUCCUCUGAAUCGAGCGCCGGCACAGCACGGCUGCGGCUUCCGGGCGGCUCAGAGUAUGCCGGAGAGCACGUUGGCGGCCGUGGAGAGCGCGGCGCCGGUGAUGGCGCACUGCACGACCUGCUCGUGCGACGCGUGCUCCGACGUGAGCGCGACCGCGGCGCCCGUGAUGGCGCCGGCCACGGCGCUGUUCCUCCAGUCGUGCGCCCCGCGCACCUCCGUGAGGCCGUAGGUCAGGCCAGAGUGCACCCCAGCCGCGAGCCCUGCACAAGACGUCCUGAUCAGAUCGAGCAGUGGGUAGUUAAAAAAAAAAUUGCUCGUCAGAUAGUUCGUGCUCAUGCUGUAUGUAUGUAUGUAUGUAACACAGGGGGUGUAGCAGGAGUAUAGGAAGUGUUACCCCACUGUAACGACUCUUUGCUCACGUUUUUCACCUGUGAUGGAAAUGAAGAACAGAAUCACAAACAACAAUUACAGCAAGGCACGGCCGGCCUGAACAAGAACUGGGUUAAUUCUGUAGCAGAUGGCGUACCAUGGCCUCUGCCGACUUGCUACUACUGUUCGUCCCUGUCAAAAUCGCCAACACAAGAUUAACGCUCACUUGUUCACACAAGGUUAGACAGAUAAGCAGCAAACUAAAAAAAUCAGAGACGUUACCAUUGAGCUCCGGGAACGAGCGUUUCCUUGAGCCGGUGGCGCCUGACACAGAUCCUCCCUCGCCUGCAGUCAGUGUCAGUCACAGGCUCACAACAACACACCGCACAAAAGAACUCAAAAAGGGACACAAACAGAGCGAAAUUGAAGCAAUCGAACAGCUAAUAGCAGCAGCAGCAGCACCACCACCACCACGACAAGGAGGUUUUGUUACCUUCGAUUGCCAUGAAGUACGAUUCCCUCGCGACCGCCUGCACCGCGCCGAUCUGCGGAGAUACACGGGAUCAGAAGAAGCAGUGGAACCGACCGACUUGUUGAGCCUGUUUGUGUGCCAAGGAAAUAAAAGGGAGCAGCAGAGGCCAGCGGGCAGCGGCGUGUGCUUACCCCCGCGGCCUUGACGAAGCUCUCGGCGAUGCGGUUGAGGAGCGGGUGGCCGAGGUCCAGCAUCCAGUUCUUCUGCUCCAGGCCGCCGCGCACCUCGUCCGCGAACGCCCGCGCCUGCGUCCCCACGCCGCUGCUCAUCUUCCCCUGCCCUGCUCUUCCUUCGGUUCCCCCUCUUGUCUCUCUUUGAAGAUAUCCGAGCUACCGCGCUGCAGCAGAGUGCCCAGGUAGGUAGACAAGCACGAAUGCAAAGGGCACCGGCUUUACGGGCAGUGUGGUCGCGUCGAAGCGGUGAAGUUUUUGGCGAGUAGUGACCCGGGGCGGCGCCGGUCCGUACAAUACAGACCAACGUCCUACUGGUCCUUGGCCUCCUGGGGGGAGAACUGGAAGACACGUACGCAUGCUUCGCCGACACGUGCCCGCGGGGUUGUUUACUCGUGGCACUCUUCUGGAACGUGCGCGGCGUGGUUCUUUGACAUUUGCUGAAAUCCGUGCGCUGGCCUCGUUCGCGGCUUCCAACACACUGACACACUUUGCUUGUCGAUAGGCAUACACAGAAAACAUACGUUUUGGAAAUGAUUACACGGUAGCUAAAAAGUGAUUAAUUAGAAAUAUUUUUUCUACCUUUAUUAAAUAGGAUUGUUGGUGCACUAUAAGGCCUUGUUUAGUUAAAAAAAUUGUAAAAUUUUUUAGAUUCUCUGUUACAUCGAAUCUUUAGCCGUAUCUAUGGAGUAUUAAAUAUAGACAAAAAUAAAAAACUAAUUACAUAAUUUAGUCGGAAUGGACGAGACGAUUCUUUUAAACCUAGUUAAUUUAUUGAUUGGAUAAAAUAUUUAUCAAAUACAGACAAAAAUACUAUAGCAUCGAUCUCCUAAAAUUUUUUGGAACGCCUAAGUAAGAAAGUUCCGUAGUAGAGAUGGCUAAUACAUUGAGGCGUUGGAACGUCAAGUUUUUUGAUUUCGCGUUAGGAGCUCAGGACAUCGUAGUUUUUUUUAAUACAGAGGAAGUACAGCCGUACGCACCGUAGAUUGUUCAUUCUGAUCCAAAUACACUUCAAAAUCACCUUUGAUCAUCAAACAUAAAAGUUAUGUCUUUUUCAGAGGAAAAAACAGUUGUGACUACUAUUAUUGUGCCUUAUUCAAGUAAACUGUUGUUACUAGUAUUACUCUCCAUGAUUAAGGAGGUGUUUAGUUCUCUUUUCAUUUCAGAAAAAAUUGGGUUUUAGUCCAUUAUUUUGUAUAAUAAAAAUAAACAAUAUAUAAAAAAUUUGGCAAAAAAAUAACUAUUCUCCAUUUUAAAUUUUGGCAGACAAAAAAAAAACUCAAAAGACCAUAAUGGGAGCAAUAAAUUCUGUAUUUUAGAUAGAACUAAACACAACUCUAAAAUUUGACAUUUUAUAUUUUAUCACUUCAAAAUAGUUGGCAUUUUGCAUUGUAAGGGGGAACUAAACAUGCCCUAAGUGAAGUUAAUUCCUGGAUACCACCGAGAAGUUCCAAUUUGGGUAUUGAGUUUGUGACACAUAGAAGGGACUCAAGGUAUCCAUCAUGUUUGCAUCACCCAUUCCAGUUUUCAAAAUGUAUGACAACGAACCGAUAGACAGUAAAAUAAGUUCACGACGUCCACAUACACCUUCAAAAAUCGCAAUCACUAAUUUGCGAGCUUAUUUCUAGGACCGUACCAACCCUUAUGAGCUGAUCCCGAGCUGGAUGCGCCAAUCCUCAAGCUGCUUCUUUACUUGUUCUGAACCAGUAGAGCCAUAGGAUAUGAACUUGUUUACGGCGUUUUCAACCCCCAGGUAUUCAUAGACGUCGCCCUCAAAUACAGGAUGGACAGAUUUUAGGUCAUCCAAUUCAAGCUCGGCUAGCUGACACUGCUUGUAGACGCAUAGAGCAACAGACCUUCCAACUAUCUCGUGAGAAGUUCUGAAAGGAAUUCCCUGCGAAGCAUGGAAAAAAGAAAAGCUAAGCUAAUAUAACCCCCCAUCGAAAAUAAACAGCAUAGCACCGAUAAAACUAGAGUACUGUUAGUUUGUGUGUUCCUUUGCUAUCACCAUGUUUCAAAGUUGAUGUCUAACUGCUACGUGCAACUAUGUUAAUAUCUUUCCCUAUGGUUUACACAGUCAUGAGAGAACAGAGUUUACCUUCUUCACAAGAUAAUCCGCCAGCGUCGUUGCAUCCAGAUAACCAGCUGGAAGGGAACUUUGUAUUCUUUUCGAAUUAAAUGAGAUAUUUUGAGCAAACUCCGUGCAUACUUCAAGCAUUCCUAAUACGGCUUUCACACUAUCAAACAAGGGUUCCUUGUCUUCCUGCUUAGGACGAAAAUUUCAGAAUACACACUCAUGUAAGAGUGGAUAUACUUAUGAGAAUUAGGCUCACCUGAAGGUCACGGUUGUAGGCUUGUGGAAGGCCUUUACAGAGGGUUAGAACAGUCAUGAGGUCUCCAACAACUCUAGCAGAUUUCCCACGAACAAGCUCCAUUGGAUCUGGAUUUUUCUUCUGGGGCAUAAUGCUGCUUCCUGUUGAAACUUUGUCACUUGGUGUCAGGAACCCAAAUUCCUCUGAUGCCCAAAGAACCCAUUCUUCACCAAUUCGCGAAAGAUGAACAGCAGCAAUUGAAUUGGCGGCAAGAAACUCUAGUACAAAGUCACGGUCUGAUACUGCAUCAAUGCUGUAGAUGGGAAAACGAGCUUAAGUGAGGAAGAACUAACUGAAAGAGAAAAAUUAAACGAUAUGGCAUUCUCUCAGUUUCUAGCCUGGCUGGUGAGUAACUGAGGGCACGACUGACAGUUCUAGCUAAUUGGCAGACAAUCACAACUCACAAGAAUAUAAUGGCUAUAUACAGUACAAAGUAGUCAAUAAACAAUUCUCAUAUCUGUAUAGUAUUUCUUGACCGAAGAAAUAUGACCAGGUAACAAGGCUUGCAUUUUCAUACAUUCCUUUGGCACGACCAAAUCAAAGUGCAUGGAAAUAUAAAAUUGAGUAUCUAACAUAUUUCAUGUGUGCUUGCAUGUCAAGAUAGAUACUCAUUCCAGCAGAUGCAGAGUAACUAGAGUACUAAAGUUUUAGGUACACAAUUCUGAUCAAAGUUCAAGAAAGUGUUAUAGCACAGAAAGUAAGCUACAACACUUGCCAGCCUUGAAAUGAUAUUACUGAAAGAAAUCAAGAAGUUACCUAUUCUUCAUUGGAGCCGUAAAUUUCAAAUCUUUAGCAGUUUGGAACCUAUCAAUGGGAAGUCCAGUUCCAGCCAAAGCACAAGCACCAAGAGGGCAGAAAUUCACUCGCUCCCUGCAGUUGACCAGCCGACCAGCAUCACGCUCCAACUGCACAUAGUGUACAUCAGAAUAAGGUCAAGCAGUCGUGAGUAACAUGGUUUAUUCGAAAAGAAUGCCAUAAAUCAUCUGGGCUACCAUUAAAACCCUUUCACAGGGACACAAGCAAUAAGUAAACCUUUUUACAGAAUAAAUAAACUGUUAGAAAUGUGACUUUAAUGCUUCAUUACAGGUCAUCUGGGCUACCAUUAAAACACUUUUACAGAUUAAAUAAACUGUUAGAAAUGUGACUUUAAUGCUUCGUUACAGGUCAGGCUAAAAUGGUGAACAGAGCUAGUGGUUCAGGCAUUCAGCAGCUCAAAGAUUGUAAAAGAUAAAGCACCUAAUUAUGGCCCCGUUUAUUUAUAUUCCGAACUCCGAAGUUAAGAACUUUGCGUAUUAGGUGUAUGUAUGAUCUGGACUGCACCAAUGGGAGGACUUGAAAUUGUGUAAAAUCACUUAUGAACAUAAUUGAACUUUUUUUGUUGCAUUGGAUAUGUCAGCGUACCAAACUGACAGUUUGAACACAGAAUGUUCUCUUUUCUGUGCAAAAAUUAUUCACAUUUUUUCAGUUUCACCGUAAAAAAACAACAGAGCUGCACCACACAAGCAUUAAAUUAAACAUUAAACUAAGAGAUCAAGUAUUUUAAGAGAGGUGCACUAAUUUGGUCGCUCUAUAUAGAGAGAUGUGAUUUAAAGACUUGUUUGAACCAUAACCACAAGGUGCAAAUUGGGGGAAAAUCAUCAAGUAGACAUGGCAUGCAUUCAACACUAACAUUAUAGCUUCCUCAAGUUAAAAAUAAUAAUAAAUUUCCAAUGUUGUGUUGUUAAGAAAGUCAAGAAGAUUUAAUCACCUGUUCAACAUAUGAUAAGAGAAGAUGUGGCAGCAGAACAGGCUGUGCCCUUUGCAGAUGAGUAUAACCCGGGACUAUUAAGUCAACAUAUUUUGAAGCCAAAAUAACCAAAGACACCUGAAAUGAUAAGAGUUAUGCUAAUAUUAGAAGUGAACACCUUCUUCAUGUAUAUAGGGAAAUAGAAAAAUUAUGUAUUACGUAGCAUGACAGAAUGGAAUCACUGGUGCAGUCAUGAGAAUACACAACAUCAGCCAUCAGGUACUCAAAACAGCUUUUCUUUAAGUCUUUACUUGAAAACAUUAAUCUAUUCUUUUGCAUCAGUUCUAGAUAAAGCACAAGGUUAAUUGAGCAGAAAACAGAAAAGUACAACACCGGCAAGCAGUGAGAGAUAGAAAAGAAAUGUGAACAUAAUAGUGGUAGGACUUCAUGAGCAUCACAGAGUAUAUUCUGGAGCAAACCUGAAGCUGCUUGAUACGAAUCAAAAUCUUGUCAAUAGCAUCACGGCACCAUAGCCUUAGAUCUGUCACAAUUUGGUCAUUGCGGCUCCUAGCAGUAUGCAACUUCUUGGCUGGCUCACCAACCCUCUCAAUCAGAGCCGCUUCAAUGUUCAUAUGCACGUCCUCCCGGUCCUUCCUCCAUUCAAAUUUGCCUUCUUGGAUCAGCCUCUCUAUCUGAUCAAGCCCCUCUAAGAUGAUAUCCCUAUCAGUAGCUGUUAUCAAACCCUGCAUUGCAAAUUAUUGCAACUUAUUCAGACACCCAACUCAAAUAUUAUGAUAAUUAGUUUUAAGUAACAUAUAGCUUAAGCAUUAAGACAGCCAAUUUGAUUCAGCAUUUGACCAAAAUACAAAGAACAACAUUUCUGGUAAAACCUUGAGGGUAUAAACUCCCUCAGUGCCACCUAACAGAAAAUUAGCAGAUUUGAACACCUAUGGAUCCCAGCAAGAGCAUAGCAAAGGAGCACAACAAAGAAGCACAAGCUGGCAUUUUCUCGAACACAUGGCGACCAAGGUGGUUAAUAGCGGGUUAACCCAGACCAACAACCCCCAAACCGUUCGACGGAGCCCUGGACCUGACGGGACAUCAGUCGAACACCUAGACGACACCGACCGCCAAGGAGCGUGCAGGUGAUACCUGGCCGGCGAGCAUGGAGGCGUGGGCCUUGCUGCCCAUGAUGUCGUACUUGUAGAGUUGCCAGUCGUAGGAUAUGGACUCCGUGAAGCGCUCCACGGCGUCGGUGACGCCCUCCUCGAACCGCCCGCCCCACAGCUUGGCUUCCCUCUUAUCUUCGCUCUCCGAGGACGCCAUCGAGGUGGAGGCCGCCGCGAGGGGCGGGAAGGCG
rnacentral:lncRNA from 1 species